rnacentral:lncRNA from 1 species
UGGUGGUGCUCUUGGUGGUACCUCGGAGAGUCCAUGGUUGACUGAGAAGAAAUUAACAAAGAAACGAAAAUGAGGGAAAAGGAAAGAAGAAAAAGGAGAAAGAAGAGAAAGAGAAACUUCUCUCUCUCACUCUCUCUCUCUCUCUGUAAAACUUUUUUGGUUUUGCUUUGGUAAGAAAUGUAUUCGUAGGGCCCUUUUUUUUCUUUGGUUUCUCUGAGAGUGAGAGCAAUAGGGCACUGCCUACGCGCUAUUUAAGCAGUGUGGACCAAGUGACCAACUAAGCAAGUUUUAAAUUUGUUUCAUGACAUUUAAUUUUAUUUUUUUCUCUUGCCAUAUAACUCCAUGUUCAGUUAAUGAUAUUUAAUGUUUUUUUCUUCUCUUGAAUUUAAUUUGAUUUGAUGUGUUAAUGAGUCCUAGUCAAAUGAACAUAAAGAAUUGGGGAUGUAAUUUUUAAUGUUUGGGAUUUUUUACUAUAACUAAAAAAAAUUAGCAUUUACAUGCACACACGCUGUUGACUGUAUUUUCUUUUUAAGUGAAAAUAUUAAUUGUUGUAAUGGAGAAUUUGGAUUCUGCAAAAUAAUAAAUGCGGCAGAUUCGUUCAUUUUAUGCACAUGACUAAUUUAUUCACUGUGUUAAAAUGUGAUUUUGGUUUGCUUGUAAUGUACUACUUUCUUACUCCAUUUUCUUUUGAGUUAAAUUAUUAAUUGUCAUAAUGAAUUAUUUGGACUAAGAAAAUGAUAAAUUUCUCUUGAUUUGUUAAUGUGGGGGGAUCAGAUGGGGGAGAUUCAUUUAUUUCAUGCACAUGAAUAAUUUGUUACCGUGUUAAAAUAUGAUUUUGGUUUUCUUAGUAAGAAAAAUGCUCACAAUAGUGUUUUUAACACUUGUUAUAUGAAGUGAAAAUGUUACUGACAUUCUUUUUUCAACACUUAUUUUAUGAUUAAUUAAAAUUUAUUGAGAAUUAUUAAUUUUAUGAAUCUCACUUAUCAUUUAAUAAUUUUCUCUCUUUACUUAAAUAUAAAAUUUAUUAAACAAAUUUCAGCCAAUCAUGUAAAAAGUGUUACGAUCCUAUUUAUAACACUCCUCUCCUAUAUAUUUUUUAUUUUUUAAAAAAAGCUAAUAUGAUGUGAGGAUUUGUAUAUUUUAUUUGGGUAAUAAUGACAAUAAUAUUUGUUAAGGAAAACGAUAAAUGGACACCCCUUAUUAGUCCCAUAAUGGGAGAGAGAAAAAAUAAUAAAAUAUAAAUAUUAUAAGAUUGUAUGAUAUGAUAAAAAAAAUACAGUAAUGAUAAAAUUUAAAAUGAAGGGAUACAUAAGUAUAAAUAUCAUAACUAAAUAACUAACUGUACAUAUACAUAACAACUGUAUCCUUUUCAUAUGUAAAUGGAGACAAAAAAAAUUUAAGUGUGCAUCCUCAUAUCAAUUCAAUAAAAGAAUUAAUUAUUUUUUAAAAUCUAAAUGCAUAAAUUUUUUAUUUGCUGAAUCCUUUCUUUAAAAGCUUAAUAAUAAAAUGCUUAUUUGAUUCAAAAUUUAUAUAGUUUGAUUUCCCUCAAAUAAACUAUUGACUAGAAUAUUGUAAAUUAAAACAUAGGUGUUCAAGAUUUUCUACUCCAUUAGAUGAAUUUAUCCAAUUCAACUCAAGUCAAAUUAGUUAAAAUCUCACAUGAUUUUUAGAUAUUGAGAAACUGAAAAAAAUGCAUAAUAAUAAUUCUUUAACAAUAAAAACCAUUAGAAAUAUACAUUGGAUCAUUCAUAAUUCUAUUAAAACAUUCUUACAGUGAAGUAUUUAAACUGAAUGGCAAAUACUCUAAUUAGAUUUCUUUACUUCUUAAAAUAAAAAAUUAUUUUUAAUGAAAUAACAUGUAAAAUGCUAUAUAUACUAUAUCUAACAAUGAAUUUUUUUUCUUCUAUAUACAUUAAGGUCAAUACAUCAUGCAUGUAAUUGCUACUUAAGUCAACUUUAUUAAAUGUAAUAACACAAAAUUGAAUGAUGAUAAUAUUAAAAAAUAUUUAUUAAUUAAACAUGUAUCAAUAUUAUUUUUCAAAUAGUUUAUAUUUUUUUUCUUGUUGUCAUGAAAGUGCUUUGUAGCAUAUAUAAACAAAUUUCACAUAUUAUUUUCCCUAUGACAUUUAAAUAUCACAUUACUAUUCUAAUCCAAGUAAGACCAUUGUUGGAAUAAUUUAACAUGAUCUUUGCUUUUGAACCCAUUUAGAGAUUAAUACACUAUAAUGUUUAAGUUUAAACAUAUUCCUUAACAAUAAGUAAAAGUGAUUAAAACAUCUUUUAAACUAAUAAAAAAAACUCGGGUAUGACGAAAAUGGCAACUCAAUAUACAUUCAAAAAAAUUCAACUAACUUUCUAACAUUUAUCAGAAGGCUAAUUUGUAAAUUAUAACACUUUAUGAAGGCUACUUGCUAUACAAAGUCAACAAGGAAAAAAAAGUAUAACACAUUAUAACAUCAUUCAAGCAAUAUCAGUGCUUUCGAAAUUCAAUAUCCACCAUCCACCUUUUAAAGAAUAUCCUUUCUUAGAAAACUACUCCAAAAUUUGUCUAUUUCAAUUGUAUUAACUUACGGAGUGUGUGUGAGCUCUGUAGAUCGAGUAUGGUACAUCCACUUUUUUUAAGUGUUAAAAGAGCAUGGAAUCAUGUGUCUUUGAGGGAAAAAAAGGUGUUUCUUAAGAGAUAAUCAAUGAAGAUCUUUGUUGUGUCUCUUAAGUUAAUUACUAUAAGAGUUAGUGUUUGUUUAGAAGCUUUGAAGUUAGUGUACAAUUUGCAAAGGCUUUCUGAAAGAAUAUUAGUGUAUGCUUAAGCCUUAACAGGUUAUGGAAAGUAGAAUACUUGUGUAAUCAAGGUUUAUUACAAUCUACUUCUCAUAACUUUCCAAACGCAAAAUUUUAGCUUAAACCUUACAUAUAAGAACAUUUUAUUGAGCUUUAAAAUUUUAUUACAAUCCACUUUGUAAUUAAGUGAUUAAUUAUAAAUAUUGGUGACAACAUAUUAUUUGGUUUAAUAAUAAUGGGCUUUUAAGAAUCUUUUGAUGGUAAGGUGUGAAAACUGAAUGUAAUGCCUCUAUUUUUAUUUUUAUUAAAGGUGCUUAACUAUUUAUGAACAACUGAAUGUGAACUCAAAAUUAUGAGAGACAUAGUUCGACUCAAAAACAUUGAAUGUUACUCAGUUGUAACUUUUAAUAAUUUAUUCGGAAUGAUGGAAAAAUACCUAGAACAUCCUAAAACACGGUAUUGGGUCAAAAUAAUAAAAACAAUCGAGUCAACAGAAAAUAUUCUAAAUUACUAAUUCAAUUGGUUCCUCUAUAUAUUUAUAUUUAGUUUAUUUUAGUCUCUUUAUUAUUAAAAAAUUCAAUUUAAUCUCUUAAUUUCAAAACUGAUACAAUAUUUUCCUUUUUGUUAACACCAUCCCAUUUAAUUUUUUAACAAAGGUUUCCUAGAUGGCAUUUUUUUUAUUUUGCCACAUAUACAAAAAGAAAAGUUAACGUUGUUUCUUCCAAUUGAAUAUAUGGAAAGGACAACAUUGUAUCAAUUUUGAAAAUUACAAGGGACGAAAUUCAACUUUUAAUAAUUAAGGAAUCAAAUUCAACAGACUAAAUUAUAAAUUUAGCAAAAAAUUUAAGCUUAGAAUGUUAAAAUAUAAUUGUACUUUUUAAAUAUUUUUGGAAUUCAUAUGCAAAAUGACCAAAAUACUUUCAAUUGUUAGUAAAAUAAGAAAAAGCUAUUUUAACCUAUAAACAUCAUAUUUUUAGAUAAAAAAAUAUGUAUAAGGUUUUAUUUAUGUAUCUAUAACAAUUCAUAAUUAAUUUUUAUUUUUCUUCUGUUAAAAAAAUGGAAUUUUCUUAAUUUUUCCUAAAAAUACAAUACAAUUAAUUAAAUGAUAAUUAUUUAUUUAUUUAUUUAUUUUAGGACUAAAUGUUUUCUCCUUAACUAGUACUUGGUGAGUCAUCAUUACAAAUAAGCAUUCAAUUUUUAAUUUACAUUUAUUAUCCUAAUUAAUUGACAAUUAUAUGAAUUAAUAGCAAAAAAGCAAAAUUUAAAAUAUACUACGGAUAAGAAACACAUUAUUGUGGCAUGUCAUGCACAAAAAUUAAUCACAAAUUGAGAUACAAAAGGAUAUUAUAACAAACAUUUCCAAUUAAUGUUAAUUAAACUAUCAUUAAUAAUGUAUAAGAAUGCAUUCAUUGAUAUUAAAAAUGAAAACUUUCUCACCUCUCUUUCUUUUCCUUCAUCUACACACACACAAAAACACUUUUUUUCACCUUUUCAUUUCUUUGUCACUAAUACAGUAAAACUAGUUAGUUCUUGGUAUUUAGGAGCAAAAAGUCUCAGUUUUAUUGAUGUUAUUGGUGGAAGCUAUUCUUUAGUCCCUCUCUUUCUCAUUGUGCAAGCUUCUUGAGGUAUGGGGAGUGACAUGUUUUCUUAGGUUAUAUAGAUAUUGGUUUGUUGUUGCCGCAGGUAUCAUCAUAGGUGGUCCAGACAAUAUAUAUAUAUAUAUAUAUAUCAACAUAGUUGAGAUUAGUGAUAAAAAAAAACAAAGUUGGGAUCUUGGUAGUUUUUUUUUAUGCAUAUGUGCAUGCCAAGCUUUUAUUUUAAAAAAAAAAACAUCAGUCGGUUAAAAUAUUAAUAUCUCUAUGAAUUUGAUACAAUAUUAAGUGGGUUGAGAUUUGGUUCAAAUAGAAAGGUAAAGACAAUGAAGUACUGCUGGUAUUGUCUUUUAACCAUGACAUAUCAUGGGAACCAUGCAACGAAGUACGAGUAUGCGUUAUAUGAGUCAUAAGUCAUAUGCAUAAGCCUGAGUUUGAGAAACAUGAUUAUUGAGAGAAAAACAUGCAAAGAGAACAUGUGUCUUUAUAGAGAUGGGAAAAUUAGAAUUUUGAUGGAUUGAUUGACUUGGUGUGUUUAUGUAACUUAUUUUACUAAAUAACUUUUUAUAAACAUUAAAUUUAACUAUUGGUUCAAGAGUUUUGAGUAAGUAGAUAAAAUUUAUGAAAUUUUAUAUGAUUUUAAAAUAUUUGAUAUUUUAUCAAUUAAUCUUAUUACAGCAUAUAAUAUACUUUUUUAAAAUAAAAAUAUUAAUAUUGACUCUAAGAUCGUGUAUUUAUGAAAGUUCAAUUUGUUUAAAAUCUAACAUACAUACAUUUUAUUUAAAAUCUGACAUACAUAUUCAAUAACAUAAUAUAGCAUGGCUUAAUAAUUAGAUUUAAAACUUUGUAUUACAAAAAAUUAUUGAGGAAAAUAAAUGUCUAAGACUUAUUUUUAUCUUUAAUAAAAUUUUAACUUAUUUUCUCAGAAAAUAUCUCAUAGUUAUAAUAAUUAAAAUAGAUAAAAAUUGAGGUUGAGAUAUUAAAUCAAGCUGAGACAGAAUCACACUCAUCGAGUAGUACUAUCGAGAAAGAAAAAAAAGUGAAAUAGUAAGAAAUAGAAAAUAAAAAGUGGUGGAACUUAAACACGCGCCUACAAAAGAAGGUGGGAUUGAAUAAAAGGGGUUCCAAAUGGUAAGGUUGCAUUGGUGAUAGUAAGAAUUUUAGACAAACAUGAGUGGGGCUGUUGUUGUUAUGUUAUGACAGAGAAAAACAGAAAGCGUCAAAAAGAGUUUAAUAUUUGGCAUUGACUCUCAGGCUGCGCCCAUGACAUGAUGAUUCUGACUACGGCAAAGCAAAGCAAAAUACACCCUCCUAGUGCCUUGUUUGGGACGACUCAUAUUUUCAUCCACUUUUUCAUUAAUGGUAACAACUCUCCUUAUGCAAUUAAUUCCGGAAAGGAAAGUGUCUAACUAACCAUAUCAUAUUUUUAUUUGAUUUUCUUAUCUCCAACAUCAAGUUAAUCCAUUCUCAUAGUAAUAAGAUUUUUUUUUAGGUUUAGUUAAUCUUUUUGGUCUUUAUACUUAUCUCACCUUCAUGUUUUAUUCUUUAGACUUAAAUCUUCUGUUAUUUUAAUUUAUAUACAACCAAUUUUUUCAUAUUUUAAUGUCUAAUGAUGUUGGUAUACUCACAGAGAAAAUUUUAUUAUUCAUAAUGAUCCUUCUUAACUUAAACAAGAAUAUUUCUUGUAUAUCUAUCAUAAAUUAAGUUUUCAAAACAGUGUAAAAUCAUAUAAGAACUAGUAAAAUAUAAAAAAAUUUGUAGGUAUAAAAAUUUGAUUUGCAAGGUGUGGAUAAGUGUAGGCAUCAAAUGAUUAAUUAUUUAAUAAUAACUUGUAAUUUCACAUUUACCCCUUAUGUCCCACUAGCAUGCUGAAAACAUACAUACAUAUCACAGGUUGUUCAGCCUUGUAAAAACUUAUUUGGUACGGUGGCAGUUAAAGAUUCUUAGAAUUUAUUGUCCCCACCCUCCUCUAUGAUAUGUAGAUGAUAAUUUAGUUGCUAAAGUUUGUAAACAAAGCUAUAUCCGGUUUUGUCUGUUAAGGAUGAAAAAGGUUAUGAAUUGGGGUAUAAAUUUAAUUUUUUUCCAAAUUAAGAUUCAUAAAGAACAGAUUAGACAAAUGUCUUGGUUGAUCCUUCCAAGUUAAGGUCUUGCAGAGGAGAAGGUCCGAAUUUGUUUUUAUAUGCCAAAAUGUUAAUGCUAUUAGCAUUCACUUUCCUAGUAUUACAACAGUAUUAGAAAUAUUUUUCUUAUAAUCAUUAUUACCUAACAAUCCCUAUCUCUCCUUCUUGUCCUUCUUCUUCAUCUUUAAGAUGAAAUAAUUGACUAUUUCUUACCUUCAAUAAUUUGAUAACCAUAUGAAGGAUCAAAUUCCGUUAGUAAGAUAUCUCUUCUAGAGUUCCAUUUGGGGUGUUGAUGUGCAAAAUAAUUCCCUUCUAAUUUUUGUUCUUUGUAUUAGAAAAGUGAGGAGAGAUACAUAAAGCACCUGAUUGAUGUGGCCGGAGAUCAUAGAUCUCAAAGAACAAAAGAGUACAAUAAAAACAACUCAUACUAUAAUUGAUUGAUUUGAUUAAAGAUACAAUGAAAAUGUGGAAGUGCUAUAUAUAUAGAACUUAUUUCUGACAAAUUAUAACAACUCUAAACACUUUUGAUUACUUGUCCAACAAAAAGAAAAUUCAAUUUUGAAACAGUUGACUAUUUUUAUGCAACCUAAUAUUACCUAUAAAAAUACUAAUGAAGAAAAAAAUGACAGUUAACGACUGUUAGAGAGGACAAAAAUUUCUGAAGUUCGAAUUCCAAGUUUGAUUAAAUCAUCAAUGCCAUUGAGGUGGGGUGCUAAGAGUUUGAGGACAUUCUUUUCAAAUACCUUUGCUUUUCUACAAGUCAGACAUAUUGAAGUUGAUGCUUAAUUCCCAAUUCCAGAAUCCUAAGCUACAUUUGCUGGCAAGAAAAAAGUGAAAGUGAGUGGUGAAUCCAAUUCCCCUAAUUUUUUUGUAUUAAAAUAAAAGGCUAAAAGACUACAAAUGCUGUAAAAUGAUGGGAAGAAAAAGGAAGGGACCACAUCACAGUGUCUAAGUGCAACAUUUAGCAAAAUAUCGAGGUGCUCUAAUAAUCGAAAAAGAGUCCAUUUAUGUUUCGACAGUGCUACAUGUAGCCACAAAAACACGUUUUACCACAAUAUUGAUUCCAAAGAAUUGACAAGUUCGCACGCAUUAUGAAAACGUAAAGUUCUUUAUUGCUGCACAUGGUCGUACGUUUCAUACACUACAUUUAUAUAUUGAAAUUUCAAGUCUAUGGAGUAAGGAUAAAAAAUAAUGUUAGUGGAUAAACUAGAAAACUUGUUGGACAUGUUGUAGGUCAUUAGCAAUUAACUUUGUCAACAUCUACCAUUAAUGUAAGAAUAUAAAAGUCAGAACAUUGAAUAUUAUAAAUAAGGCUUUCCGAAUUAGUACUCAAUCAUUUAGGAAAAAUACUAUCAACCCAAAAUAUAAAGUCUUUGAAAGGCUUAUUGCCUGAUAGAAAAGCAUACCGAGAGGAGCUAACUAUAUAUUAAUUUAAAUUGAACUAUGCCAAUAUGGUAGGCGAAAACUCAUUUAAAAUUAUAGAGGUUUUGAAUAUUUCAAUUUUCAACCCCGUAGGAGGGAUCCAUAUGCAAAAGAGGAGUAAAAAAUUAAAGCAAAUAAAAUAGCUGGAAUGACGUUAGGAUUGGCUCCUUAGUGUUUCUACAAGAAGAUGCUAGCAUGCCCAAUUUGAUGACAAGAUAAAUAGUUAUUUCUAGUGAGAAAAUCAAUCCUUUGAAAUUCGAAGGAUAGAUAUAAUAAUUAGAUGAUACUAUUAAACAAGCUCAUAAAGUUGUUCUUGAGAUAACCUUUCUUCUGACUAGUACAGUACUAACAUGAUUGCACGCUGAAUUUUUAGAAGAACUUUAAGUUUUACUGUAAAAUUCUUGCCAUUGUUGACAUUGUUUAUUGUCCUUUUACCUUUGAUCUCAACGUCCUCAUCUCCUAUGCCUACAAGUCCUUCCUCAUUCGUUGAUCACUUUCUCCUUCUGCCCUAUUGAUUCCUAAAUCCUCUUUCAUUUUUUAUUCAAUUUUCUAUGUUAAUGACUAUUCAUUGAAGAAAUUAAAAAAAUAUAAUUGAUGUUGGAUUAGCUUAAAUGUUUAGUUGUUUUAUUUGUUGUGCAUGCAUCUAUUUUUUUUUAUAUAUAGGAAUUAAACACAGCAUCAAAUUAAAGAAUUUAUAACACUUAGUUAUUAUCUUGUUUAAUCAAUUGAACUAAGCUGCUUUCAUAAUUAUUAAUGUGUUCGGAUUUAAGUUUAAGAUUCACAUUUUGUAACAAUUCCUGUCUAGAAUCUCUCAAUAUGCAAAAAUAAAUAUUUUUUAUUUAUGUUCUGGAACAUAGAUCAACUUAAAGCAAAAAGUACACACUUAUGCGUUAUUAGUGGACUCGGGAGCACCAAACCAAAUAUGUUAGUAUUUGUGUUUACAACUUUUCUUUUUUUGCUUUAAGUAUAUUAUUGCAACAUUAAGACUUCCUUUUGUCUUGUUACUUUUGUGUACUUAUUAUACAUUGCUCAAAUUAUACUUCUCCUUAUUUUGUUCGUCUGUUCUCAUUUGACUUCUUUUGAUCUCAAAUAGUAUAGAAGAAGUAACUUCACCCGAGCUAAGCAAAUGCUCAUAACAGACAACUCAAGGAUACCUCUUUUCAGAUAAAUAAUUGAAUGUUAUAUUCCUGAAAAAAGAAAAUUAGAGUUUACACGCGCAUUAGUCAAUAACUCAUGAUUAACGAUUUCUGUUAAGUAAUGUAGUAUAUGACAAUAUCUAUUCAUUACACUUUGUAUUUUCACAAGAACAUAUGUUCUUUUCUAUAUUUUUUUACUUAAAAUGAGCCCUAAAAACUAAUGCUAAUAAAACUAUUUUGAAGAAUCUUUAACUAAACUGAUAAAAAAUAAAUAAAUUAAUGAACCAAUUAGAUCUUCAUCCUUUUGAUUAGAAAAAGGGUUGAAUCAAAUAGUGUUCCGUUAUUUGUAGCGGUGAAAGAAAAUUAUGUCUACAUGAUUAAUUUGUCAUACUUUUUUAUAUGUUUAAUGAUUAAAUUUAAAUUUAUUAAUUCUUAAAAGAUUAAUUUUAUUAGUGUCUCAUAUUUCCAUUCACCGUCAUCUCUUCCCUCUAGGGUUUCUCCUCUUCUCAACAAUGGUUGCCGCCAAGAAGACCCAUGAGAGCAUCAACAAGAGGCUCCUUCUUGUCAUGAAGUGUGGCAAAUACAUACACCCUCGGUUAUAAGACCGUUCUCAAAUCCCUUAGGAGCUCCAAAGGGAAAUUAAUUAUCAUUGCUAACAACUGCACCCCUUUGAGGAAAUCAGAGAUUGAAUACUAUGCUAUGUUGGCAAAGGUUGGAGUUCAUCAUUACAAAUGUGGACUUGGGCACUGCAUGCGGCAAAUAUUACAGAGUGUGCUGCCUUAGCAUAAUAGCAUUAUUGAUCCUGGUGAUUCGGAUAUCAUUAUUAAGACAUUGCCUGGCGAACAGUAAAGUAGUGAUAAAGUUCCUUGCUUGUUAUUUUCUGGUUUUAUUUGAUUCAGAUUUUGAAAGAAUAUCUGAUUGAGUUGUAGACUUUGGUGUAAGGUGCAUGGUUUUUGGGUAUUCUUGAUGGGUAAAAAAAAAAACUUCUUGAACAAAUUUGAUUAUUUAUAUAUAAAAAAUCCAAAUAUGCUGAAGAAACUUGUCAGAGGGAGUUUUUCUUUAUAUAUUUUUUGUUUCGUUUAAAUAUGUUGAUGAUAUUUGUGAUACUAAUAUUUUUUUAAUUUAUUGUUAUCUGAUUUUUUUGAAAUUUAAUUUUUUUAUCUGAUAUUGUUUAAGUGAUGUUUGAUAAAUUAAUCCAGUUUUAACAUACUAAGAUUAAAAAUAGGUAUCAAAAGCAAAAUUUAAAAAACGUAAAGUAAAAUAAAAAAAAUUAGAUAGUAAAUUGAAAAGGAAAUAUAUUAUAAAUAUGAAAAAUAUAUUUAAAUAUUUUUAUUUUAAUCUAAACUCAUAUAUAUAUAUAUAUAUAUAUAUAUAUAUAUAUUAAAGAGUCUUUUUUUUUUCAAUAGCAGCGACAUGCUUCGGAUUUCAAGGGAUAGGCCAAGAUUCCCUGCAAGAUACACUCACAAAGGAUUUCUCCAUAUAAAAAUUACUCAUAGUCCCUAUGUGAAUAGGGAAUUUCCAUGGGAGGAAUAACCAUUAUGGCGUCAUGGCGUGUUUACAUUUUAGACAUGAUGAAAAAUAAAAUAGAAAUCAUAAGUUAUCGUCUUAAUAAAUAUCACUCUGAUAUGAAGAACAAAAAAUAGUCCCAGUCUUAUUUUUCAAACCUUAGUAGUUGAUACAAGUAGUUCAGAACUUACGUCUUUCAAAUGAAAUUUGGGGUUCAGUCUUCAAAUUUAGGGACAGAAUUGUAAUUAGAAAUAUUACUUCAUUCAAAAUGGACCAAACUCAAAAGAGGAAAACUAGUUGAGAAUUAAAUAAAAGCUUCAUAUACCUCCAAUUUAUACUAAAACAAAAACAUGAAUCAUCCCUAGAGUAUCCAAGUAUCUGGGUAUUGAGUAUUGAAUGCAUAUCCGAUACAAUAUCUAUGGCAAAUGCAAAUAUGUGUGCUUUAUAGUAUAACCACCAAAUAUAUAGAACCAUGUGUAAGCUCAAGUCAUUUAAUAUAAAAAAAAUGUGGAACAUUAUACCCACGUUUUGCAUUGUGGAAGCUUCUUGCUUCGAUAUGAGGCCAAAUUUUUAAGUUUGUCCCAAAGUUGGACACAAAAGCAUAGUAUGCAUAACUGGACGCAUUACACUUCCUAUCCUAAAACAACCCACUUUGAGAAAGUUAUAAUAGCCGUUGGAUGCGUGUUGUUUUAAAUCGUGCGGUUCUUUUUUUGUAAAGGCUAAACAAAUAUGUUGGAAAACCAAUCGCCCCCGGACCCAAACAAAAGUCCCAACUUUUUUUAUAUUAAAUAUAUUGAAGUAGAAAAUUUUAUAAUUUACAUUCGACUAGGGUGGGGGCUUUUAUCAUAGAAAAAAUGUUUUUAGUUGUUAUAUUUUAUAAUUUUUUUAAUGAAUAUUUUAGUCUUAAGUUUUUUAAAAAAAUAGUAUUUUUAAUCUUUCACACAGAUACCAUGUAAGAAAAUAGUGUUAAUAAAGAUUGUUCCAAGGGACUAAAAAUAUUUAUUUUUAAAAUUUCAAAAAUUAAAAUGUUCAGAUGGUAAAAUAUAUGAAUUUUAUAAAAUAAAAGGAUUCAAAACAUAUUUUUCGAUAUAACUUACAUUCAAAUGUUGCAAAAGAAAAGUGGCAAAACAAAUGUUGCACAAAUGUAAACAGAAAAAGGAUCUAUUUCAUCUUUCCCCCACCCAAUGUUUGGGCAUAAAGCACGAAUCUAUGAGUGAAUUAAACAGAAGUAUGUCCCUACUGUUCCUCAUGUGCUGAAUUGACUUCCUUAAUUAUUGGAGUGUUCAGCUCCUGCAAUUAAUAUUUAGUGUUCCUACUAAAAAACACAUCUCCCAUAGGUUGGUAAAUGAGAUAAAACAGAUAAAUGUACCUAUUUUAGUGUGACCAUGAGCUGACACAAACUUCAUGAAGCUUUCGCAUAAGCAUUUCUUCUUCGACCUAACAACCAGAACCAAAAAAAUAUUAACACAGAAAUAAACCAAAACUAUCUAAUUGUAUACAUCAGGCAACAUCAUCAAAAGGGGCAACCAAUUUAUAUUUGGACAUAGACAGAUUGCUAAAUCCCAAAACUCAACAUUAUGAUCCAGUCCAGAAUUAGAACAACUUAACACUUUAACAAGGUUUUCCUCUCCACUUCUGUGGAAUAAACCCAUUUGCAAUUGAUGUUACUGAACAUAAUACAUAGCACGUAUAAGAUUAAUCAGAGAAAUAGUAGAUAAAAUCAAUAGGCUAGAAUAUUUUGCAGCACGAAACUGGAAUCAAAGGGUCUAGGUUGAUCACAUAAUAAGUUUACCAUCAGAAAUCAUUAGUAUCACUUUGCAAAGACACAGGAGUAGUCUACAACGUGAUAUAAGCAUUUUGUGCAGAGGAUAAAUCAGACAAAGAGCUGAUAAAUAAAUUGGCCAGAUUGUUAUGCUGCAAGAAAUUAAAAUCAAAUGAGCCAGAAUUAUGAGUUAAUAAUUUACCAUCAUAAAAUAAUAACACAUUGUAAAAUCAAUAAUUUUACCCUCUUAGUCACAUGUCGUGUUCACAACUUGACAUCGUUAGCAGAACAAAAGAGUUGUUGCUUUCCUAAAUUUGUAGCAGAAUAAAGCAUAUAUAAACAAGUGGUGUAAGAAAACAAAACCCAAUACCCAAGUAAAGAAUUUCGAGGAGAAAAUAUUACAACCUGAAUUUUUUGCAAUUCAUGUAACAUUGAUCUAUAUGGUUCCCUAAAGACCUCAUUCUGCUUGUCCUUAUGCCUGUUUACCAGAAACAUAAGAAUAGAAUAUUAAUUAAAAAACAGUUAAAAAAAAUAUAGCAGCAAUUAAUUAAUGAGUUAACCAGAAAUUCACAAUGAGUUAAUCAUAUUAUGAAAGCACCCAGGGUAGAAGGGGGAAUGUACAUCAAUAACUCUCCAGAGGCUCUCUUGUGUCAAAUUUUCCAGGUUCCAAUUUCCAUCCUGAUAAAGAUAAAAUUAAUCAAAAGCGAAAGGGAACAUUUUUGCUUAAUUUUGGGACAUGUUAAACGAGGCCCAUAAAAUAUAUGGCUUUGUGUGUGUGUUGUCUUCCAAAGAAAGGCUCUACUCCUCUCUGGGCCUACAAUGGCCCAAACAAAAGAGCAGAGUCUGUUGAAAAUGCCCAUUUUUAGUAGUAGAUUAUAAUAUAUAUAUAUAUAUAUAUAUAUAUAUAUAUAUAUAUAUAUAUAUAUAUAUAUAUAUAUAUAUAUAUAUAUAUAUAUAUAUAUAGUUUUGCACAUAAAAUUAAUAAUAAAUAUUUUUUUAAAACUUUUUAUUUAUUAAAUAAUUAUGUAAAAAAAAAAAAUCAACCCCUUUAAUACGCUUCUGAAUUCGUUUUUGAUCUUUAUUCAGAGGUUUCAAAUCAUGCGUAAUUCAUGUCCCACCAUCACCUAUCCAAUCAUCUGUCCAGAAGCAAAUGCUGCUGCCAUCUCCUAAUUGCCAUUGCAAAGAUUGUGAGAUUUUUUCCCAACAGAAUUUACUACCCUCUUCCAGCAAUUUGAGGAAUUUUUAGCAAGUUCCAUGAGAGGUAAAAUCUCCACAUCGGUAUUUACCUCUCAGGGAACUUUACCCAUAAUUUAUCCCUUAAUGCAUAUUUCCCAAGCCAAGUUUUGCAUAUAAGCAUCAUUUAGCUAGAAAGGUUUAUUGCUACAUACACACAAGUAAAUCUGUUCAUGCAUGACAUUAUAUUGCAACUUUAGUAAGUGCGGGAUGGACAAGAUAAUUACCAAUUACCAUACAAUGUGAAGAACUCUUCACAGAGUUCACAAUCAUGGUAUCAGUGGAUUAAUUUUUGUGGGAUUAUUUCAAUUUAACAAAAAUCUCAAGUUAUGAAUGUUGUGUUAAAUAUUUGAAAGAAAAAUUUAAAUAAAAAUGUUAAAAUACUUUUUUCGUCUUUGUAAAUUAUUAUUUUUUCAUUUUUAUCUUCACAAACUUAUUUAUUUCGUUUAAGUCCUUACAAAAUAUGUUUAUUUUAUUUUUUUUCUUUAAAAUAUUUUAAAUGAUAUUUUUUCAUUGUUUAAAAUAUUUUUUUUACUAUUCAAAACACUAUUUAAGGUGUCUAAUAGACGAAAAAAAUAAAUAUAUUUUAUAAAGACUAAAAAAAUUUAUAAAAAGACAAAAAUAUAAAAAAAAACACUAAAUUACUUCAACCAAAAAUAUAUUUAUAUGGCAAAAAGAAAUACCUGGGUUCUACAAGAAGAAAAAAAAUACUGUAUUGUAUUAUUCAGGGUUUUGAGUCUUUUGACAGGACCGGUGAAGUAAAAACCGUGGUCCAAAAAAUCAUAUCUUAGCCUUGAUAUCUCCUUUUCCUUUUACUCAUUGGGAUCACAAAAGUAAAUUUCAUUAGAAGCGUCGCGAAAUCGAGUAAUGAUUAGGAUGUUGUCGGUCGAUUUGGUUAAAAACAUUAACUAUUUUCCUCAACUAAAUAUGCCUUGAAACAAUCCAACUUGAGGUCACGCAUUCAUAUUGAAGGGUCUCAUCUUUUUCUCUCUUAAACCCUAAUAAUGAUGUAGUGGGCAUUUUUAAAAAACGUUUUCAAAAAGUUUAUAUCAUAUUUUUUGAAUUUAAUGUUUAAACAUUAAUUGUAUAAAAUAUAUUGUCAUCUAAUCACAAAUUAUUAUUUUAAUUAUUAUAAAAUAAUCAUUUUAAAAUUUAAUAAACUCAUCAUAUAUAAUUAAUUAUAAUUAAAUGACGGUAGUGCAUAACCUUUUAGUAUGGUAUUUUUUCUCUCUUACUUUUUGGUCCGUUCCAUAGAGUCUUUUAAAAAUUUGGUGUUACCGUCUUUUAGCAAUCUGUAAUUAUCCAAAGUCGAAAAAUCCAGUUUGUAAUUGAAGUCAAUUUCGUUAAUGAUUUGGUUACCUUGGAGGUAAUUAGGAAUUUGGGGGGACCCAAACUAGGCUUAUCCAUAUAUGAUAUGGACCCAUGUUAGUUGUACAAAUCCUAUGACCUGUGUACACCACACUACCUACAUACAGACCAAGGUUUAACUUCAAGGCUGGAAGAAUAAUAAAUGUGUAUGUAUCUUAAUGGAACAAAUCAUAGCUUAAAGAAGGAGUGAUAUUGAACAUGAGUGUGCAGAUAUAUAUAGCUUAAUGCUUGUAUUUGGUUACAACAGAAAUGGACCAGGGAAAUUUUGAAAGGAGACAAGGAAAGAAGGAAGAGAAAUCGAGAACAGAUAAAAAUAAAUAAAACUAAUAAUUUAACACCGUGGAAAUCAAGAGAGAAGAAAAAAAAAAGUGAGUCUCACCGUGAUUUAGAACAUACUUAAAUUGUAAUCUAUGUAUUAUGCGCGGAUUUUAAAAUCAAAUCCAAUAGCUAAUACAAACAGAAAGUAAAAGACAGGAUGAAAAUGCUUGCAAACCUUUCUUUGAUUUCAAUGUUUGUUUAUAACGUUUAUCCACAUUUAUACUUACUUUCUCCAUUGACAAAUGAAAUUUUCUAUAGUAACAUAUUUUUUCAUGUAAAAUAUUUAGUUGUUUUUUUUGUUCCGUAUCUAUUAUCAAUUGUUUUCACAUGGAAGCCAAUUGAUUAUCAAAUUUGAUAACCAAUUGCUUUAGAUUUUGAAGGAAGACAAUCGAUUAUCAAGUUAGUAAUCAAUUAAAAACUGUUUUUUAUUCUAUUCAGAUUUUUCUCUUUAUUUCUCUCAAGCUUAGCAUUCUUAUUUUCAUUUAUUUUAUUAUUUACUUUUUCUCUCUCUCUACCAAAACACAUUCUAAGAAAGGAGAAGUGAUAUCAAUAUACCAUUGAACAAAUUUUAUUACACUUUAUAUUAUCAAAGUUAAAAUUUAUUAGAAAUUAUAAAAUUCUAAGUGAAAGUUAUUGAAUAAGAAUAAAUAUUAAUAAAAUUUAAUGUUUUAAAGAAAUUUUAGUUAUUAAUAAAAUGUCUUAAAAACAAAUAUAUUAAAGAGUGUGUUACUUAUAUUUUUCAACCUGUAGUUACUUUUGAAUGUCAUAAUUUUGUGUCAUAGAUAUUGGGCCAGACUAUUUAAAUUUUCUUUUCAUUUUUAAAAAAGUGUUUUUUAAUAAAAUAAAUAAUUUAUUUUCUUUUAUAAGUUGUUUGUUUAAACUGUUUUUUUAAAUAAUUUUUUAAGAAGUAAAAUCCUCGCUAAUUCUAAAAUAAGCGCUUUUAAAAAAAAUUAAAAAAUGUUUAAACAAAUGAGUCCCAUUGGGCUAUGAAAAUAGCGUGUCCCACGUAAAUAAUUAAUAAUUAUGUACUCAAUCUUACUUUUUAUCCAAAUCUAAACAAAGAAAGCAGUAAUCCUUAACCUUUUUUCUCCGUUUUUUCCAUAAAAUUUUUGCAUUUGGAAAAAGGAUUUAAUGGAUAGGAAUAAAAGGAAGAGAAAAAAAUAUAAAUAUUCCUUCUUUUACCUUAAACAAUAGUACCAAAUAAAGUUAAUAAAUCUUGAACGUACUUAUUGUUUUGUUUGCUUUUUUUUCUCUAAAAUAUCAGACUGAAAACUAAGGCAAAUAUAAGAUUAGUUUUUUAAUUUUUGUUAAAAAUAUUUUUAUUAUAAACAAAUAAGUGUACGUGUUUAGUUUAGUUUAUAUAAAGAAAUUAUUUUUUAUUUUUUAACUUCCUAGAAGAACUUUUGAUUAAAAAAUAAAGCAAAUGCAGUAAAAAAAACAAAUAUUUUUUAAAAUUAAACAAUAUGAAAUUUUUACCAAAAUAUAUUUAGUACAUUUUACUAAAUAUUUAAAUAUUUUUUAAAAAAUUAAACAAUUUUUAUUUUUUAACGAAAUAUUUAUUUAUUUUCUAAAAAUAUUUCAUACUUUUUAUUUCUUUAAAGACACUUGCCAGUCUUUUUUUUUUUUUUCUAAUGCUAAUAGAAGGCGAUUCAUUGGACGAAAUCUAAAUUCUUUUAUAAAAGCCAUGUUUUAUAAUUCGAACAGAAAUCAUUACACUCAUUACCCAUACAUGUUUUAUCACUUACAAAACAUACCUGGCGUGAUACAAGAUAAUAAUGACUAAUGAUACUUGGAAAGGAAAGGAAUAAAAUUCUCUCCUCUUAAUCCUUGUAAUAAGAAAAAUAUAUUAAAAAGUUAUUGUCAAGUUUAACUAAAUCUGCUUGUGAUAAUAAUUAAUAUUUUUAUGUAUAAAAUAAUAAUCUUCAAAAUUAUAUACAGAAAUUAUUAUGUAAUUAAAAAUGCAAAUUUUUUAUAAUAAUUGACUCACUUCUAAUUAGUUGAGUAGAAUGGCAAAAUCUUUACAUAUAUUAAAAAUUAAAUUUAUUAUAUAUAAUAUGAAAAAAAAAUAACCAUAAUAAUUACAUUAUAAGAUAUUGAAUAACAUAAUUCUCACAUAUAGUAUACCAUGUAAUGAUUAUAAUAGUUUAAAAAAUUUACCCGAAGCCCUAAUGUGUUCUUGAACAACAGUUUAAUCUUUACAACAAGUUUCUUGUCUCUCUACCUUAUUUUAUGUGUAUCUCUGAUUAUGAAGAUACAAGUUUUAUUGUGUGUUCUUCCUUCAUGGUAGAAAGUUUAAUCAUACAUGAAAAGUGACUCUCUUCUUUACAGUAAGUUUAUAUUUAAAAUAAAAAUUGACUCUUUAACCGCUCAUAACCGUAUUUUACAAAGGGAGAGGAGAGGGAUAAUUUUAAGAACUAAAUUAAUUUCACUAAUUUAAUUAUCCUUUCAUAUUUAAUAAUCAUCACACUAAAUAUCUUUUGUAUAAACCAGCAAUUUAAAAUUACAUGAACCAUUAUAGAUUAAAACCAACAACACCGUCAAUCCUCUAUAACACAUUGCAACAUCUUCAUCGGGACAAAGAAUAACCUACUCACACACAGACUUGUAUGGAAGGUUAUCAAAGGCGUACCCAUUACCAACUCAAAUGUCAAUACAAAGUUGAGAACCCUAUGUAUUAGAAGUAGAGGCUUUUGAGAAAGUAAUAUUACAUUACAUCAUGUUACAAUUUUAAGAAUUCGUACAAAUGGUUUACCAAGAUACAAUUUUAGUCUUUAAAAUUAACGAAAUAAAAAUACAUACCUCGAAUUUUCUUUAAUAUAAGUACUUUCAGGGCUUGUUAAGUGUUUACGAGAGACACCAUAUAAAAUUGUCACAAUUUUAAGAGCAAGAAAAUAGUUUAUUGUAAAACAUUACUUGAAGAUCCAGAGUGAAAGGGCUAUAAACGUCAUUAUAAUCGUUUAGAGCCUUUUUUUUGUAGGUUAAGAGCCUCGUUAAGAUAAACUAAAAACGAAAAACAAAAUGACUUGGAAUAUUUAACAUUUUUUUAUACAUAUGGAGUUGUGCAAAAUUAUUAAUUAAUCAAUUGAUAUAAUAAUGUAAAAUUCUUUUAAACAGUCAUUUUUUUUUUAUCUUUUAAGAUUCAUUCUUCCUUGGAGCCUCUUCUUCCCUUUCUGUCAUUUAAUCAUUUUCCUCAUUCGUACGUUGCUAAACAAAGACAAGAAACGGCAACAAAUUUAAACUAAAAGCCAUAAACAACAAUUCUUUUACACAAGAAUUAAUUUCAUACUAGAACUAUCCAUUUCAUACGUACUGUCACUCAUUAUUGUGUAUGAUCAAUUCAAGCCCAGAGCCUACAAACGCAAAACCACAAAUAAAAAUGAAGACAAACAAAACAAGGCCAGAAAGAAGGCAAAUUAGAGACAACACAGCUCUAUCAUAUAACUUAAAAUAACUUGAAAUAUGAUAUAUCCAUAAUUUCUUGCAUUUAAUGGCAAUUGGGCUCAAAUGCAAGAGGCCCAACAGUGUAGAGCACAAAAGGAAGCCUCUUAGACAAGAAAGGCUUCUCGGGCCUGAGAAGAGCACCAGUGACACCACCAUGGAGAUUUGAGGCCUUAAGCCCAUAGGGUGCACUAACCAAAACCACGUUACACUUGUGGGCCCCGUACGUGGUUAUGCUCUUUGGUGCUUCAAUGUAGAAGUAGCCGUUCUUGUCAGAUUUACUUGUUUGAACCAGCUUGUACUUGGUGUUGUUGCAUUGGAGCUUCACAACGGCACCUGCAGUUUUUUUUUUAACACGACACAGUUAUUGUUAUUUAUGUGUCCUUUUGCAACAAGGGUGGAAAAAAGUCAUUUCAUAAGGGGUGAAAAGUGAAAAGUAAAAAGAGUCGCAACAAACAAUGUCCUAUAGUACUUCUCUAUUGUGUUCUCAGUAACCGUGAAAGCUUUGCUAAAAUUGACAAAAACAACUUUAACAUUAAGCUUUCGCUGUUUUGCAAUACCACUUCUCUCUCUUUCUCAGACACACAAACACAUACACUGGUCACGUCAUCAUAGGUUUAUUUUGCUUUACCAUGCGUAAUUAAUUAAAGCUAGCUAAAUUAUUUAUAUAAAAACACUACUACUCAUUAGUCAGGUUUUUAAAAGAACUACUAUUAUAAAAUUUCCUUUCCUAAAAUCAUGCUAGAAAAAAAGUAAACUGAAAUAAAAUAUUUUAAGGCAUGGACACGAUUAUUAUUCCCAUAAUAUUGAAAACGAUGUGCCUAAAUAAACAAGAAAAAUAAAUAGCUGUGCCCGGUGCGAUCCAUGAAAAGCUUCAGAAAGAAAAAGUAAAAUAAAAAACAAAAUUUAAGUAAAAAAAGCUUAGUUUAUCUACUUGGUUCCUAUGUACACUGACAUUAUAAUUUACAAGCAGUUAAAUUCAUGACAGAUUAAGGUUUUAACAUUGUCUACUUAGCUAGUGUAGUAAAGUUGAGGCAUUAGAUGAAAGCAAGAAAGGUGAAAUAAAAAAAAUUAUUACAGUGACCGGAUCUGAAAAAACAAGAACAAUAUUUGCAAGACAUUAUUUUUUUGAAGGUUAAAUGUGUACUAGGAUCGAACAGCAUGCAGAUAAUUAGUUAAUAAGCUAAAAAAAAUAUUUUUUUUUGUUGUCUUCGCAGCAAAAAAGUGAAAACAAGGUUAAGACUAAAGAGUGUUAGUUGAAAGAAGUAAGCGAACCAAGUAGUGGUGUGGCUCCCAAGAGGGUGUCAACCCCAGCAUACUUGCAGGACUUAACAUAAACAACUCCUUGAACUGCGACAAAGCUUCUAGGAAAGGGGUGAACCGGAACAACCGGAGGUUUAACAGGAGGGUGAACCGGAACAACCGGAGGUUUAACAGGAGGGUGAGCCGGAACAGGAGGUUUAACUGGAGGGUGAACCGGAACAGGAGGUUUAACUGGAGGGUGAACCGGAACAGGAGGUUUAACUGGAGGAUGAACCGGAACAGGAGGUGGAUUAACAGGAGCAGGAGGGUGAUGGUGAUGGUGGUGAGUAGGAGGCUUAGCAGGGGCAGGGGUAGGAGGGUAAUUGUGGUGAGAAGGUGAAGGAACAGGUGCUGGUGCUGGUGCUGGUGCUGGAGGGUGGUGGUGGUGGUGGUGGUGGUGUGGGUGAGGAGCAUUUGCUGGUGGGUGAAGAGGUGCUGGUGUGGGGGAGUGAACAGGGUGAGGGUGAGGGUAAGAGGGUGGAAGAGUUUCAAGUUCAAGCUCUACAGCAAACACAUUACUCACAGCUACGAGGAGAAACAGCAGCACUGAUGCCAAGGCUUUGGCCAUUGCUUCAAGCAAGUGAAGCAGAGAGAGAGAGAGAGAGAGAGAGAGAGAGAGGAGAGGAGAGUUGUGUUGGUAUCAUAUGAGUAUGGCAGUGGUUGAUUUAUAGGGGCUGAUGCCGGGAUUCUCUGCGGUUUUUGUUCAUAUCUAUACAAAAAAUUAAGGAUGUAUUCGUUUGUAGAAAAAUAUAAUUAAAAAUAAAUUAUUAUAUUUUAUUUUAAUUCAAAAUUUUCAUGUUAUAUCUUAAUUUUUUUUUACUAUACCAAAUAAAUCAUAAUUGUGAAGAAAAAAAAAAGUUUUUGCUUAUUAGAGUAACUAGUGCUAGCUAGCUUAGGUUUGCGUGAUGAUGGCAUCAGAGUGGAAAACUAGGGAAAUGGUAAUGUGAGGAAGGUAAAUUUGAAAAUCAGAGAUCCCAGGCUGAAUUAAAUGGAUCUAUGAGUCUGUGAUAUAUUACUGCUAGCCCUACGCUGAUGUUAACAUAUUAGUAGUAUUUGGGUAGUAUAGUACUCGUGAGACACAUUAUUAAUUAUUAAGUGUGUAUAUGAUUUUAUAUGGAAGAAUUGAUUUUAAGUUUAGAAUUAAUUUUAAGUUAAAAUAAUUUUAAGUAAUUUUUGUGUUAGAUAAAAAAGUUAUAUUAAAUUUUAUUUCUUAAAUAUAAAUUAUAUCAUUUUAAAAUUAAUUUUAUUCAAACUUAUUUUUUUGACGUUAAUCCAAAACUGCACAAAAUACAAAUUUUUUAAAAAAUAGGUUUAAUUAUAAUUUACUAUCUUUUUUAUGUUUUUUUUUUAAAUUUUGUCACCAAAAUAUUACGAAAUCUGUGCAUUCUGUCUCUACCUCCUAUAUUAAAUCUAAGCAUUUUUGUUUUAAAAUUGGAUGAUAAAAUAUACAAAAUUGUAAAAGUUAAGUAACAAAAUGUGUCUGAAGAAAAAAUGAAUCACAAAAUGAGCGAUCCAGAUUUUGAAAGAGUUGUGACAAUAUGUGCAAAAUCUAUAGUUUGAUAGCAAAUUUGGCAAAAGCAAUUAAGGAAAAAAAAGUACAUGAAUUUUAGUAAAUUUUGAACGGUAAAUAAAAUAUUUUAUAAAAAAUUGUCCAAAAAUAUAUUGAUAGGCUUUUUUUUUGAAACUUUGGUAGUUGGUUUUUGACACUUGUGUAAAAUUUGACUACCUAUAAUCAUAAAACUUUUUUAUUUAACCAUUUUAUAAGUGUUAUGUUUCUAUAAAAAAAAAAAAAGACAUGACAAAUUAUUAACAAAUUUGAUUCUUUAAAAGAAACAACUCGCACUUUUUAGUAUGGAAUUGUGUUAAUACAAUUAUAAUUAAGAAUACGCAAAUGGCAGAAUGAAUGCACAUGCAUAGGUGCUUGUUAUUGCACUUCUUACAAGGCUUAUGUAGAAGUUUCCAAGGACUUCGGUAAUAGCUUUGCGUUUUUUUAUUACUGGCUUUGAGUUUCUGAUAUGGCAUUUAUUAGGGAAGAAAACAGAAAUGACUUGAACAAAAAGAAAACCCACGAAAAGGUCAAAUUUUAUGAACACGAAAGAGGCGACAUGGAAUGAUGGAUAGAGAAGGCCAGAAGGGUUAGUAGCACUUUAAUGUGUUUUAUAUUGGUAAAAUCAACCCAUUUUUUUUGUUGAUAAAGUUAGAAAUCGAAAUAACCGAACACUUACAAAUUAACUGAUUUAAUUAAAAAUAUUUUAUAAAAUUAAUUAAUAAAUAUCAAAUGACAUAAAAAUAUAUAUUUAAUAAUUUUAAUAUUUGAAUUUAUUUGUAAUAACUUUUUAAUAUCAUCUCAAAAGGUAUGACUAUAAUUUUGUAUUACAAAAGAUAGAAUAGUAAAAAUUUGUGAUAAAAAAGAAGAAAGUAACAAAUGCUAUAAGUGAAUUAGUGGUUUUUUUAUUGGAAUUCAAAUAUAGAAAUGAAAAUAUAUUAAAAAUAAUGUAAUAAUUUUAACUAGAAAUAAAAAUAUGGUAGCCUAAUUUAUCUUUUACCUUCAUAUGUUCAAAUGUUAAAAUGAAAUAAUUUGUGUUAGAAUAAUUCUAUUUUAAAAAUAAAUUAGUAAUAAAACUUAAUGUAAUGUUUUAUCUAAUACAAAUUUAUUUGUUUAACCUCAAAACCAAUUUUAAAUUCAACGUAAAAUCAAAUAUCUAAACAUAUAUAACUAGAAUUACUUUUGUUACCAUUUUAACAUCAUGCACUAAAUGGAAUUGUACAAAAACAAAAUCCAGGUUAUGCAAUUGUCAUUAAUGAUAGUUAAACCUUUUGUGCAGACUCCAAUAUAUAAAUUAAACUUUGUUCAUUCUAAACAAAAUAUUAUUUAACAACUUCAAUAAAAAUUGAAUUUAUAUAAAUAUCAUCCUUACUUUUCUUCGUUUGCACCUCAUUUUCCCGUAAAUUUUGAUGGAAAAGGACAUUAAUAUAAGGACAAAAAUUGUUCGGCCACGAACGGUCUAAAAUAAAGCCGUUUGAACGUAUAUACAGUAUUAUCCUGUCCACCUUACAAGAAACACAAUUAGAACACAAAUUAGUUUUUAUUGUUAACUUUUUUAGAUAAACGUUCUUAUUGUUAUUUUAUUUCUUCGAGUUUCGUAAAAGAAACAUCUAAAUAGAUAUAUUUUUUGUUUUUUUACUGAAUAAAUGUAUUAUUUAUUAAGAAGAUUUAGUUGGAUUGAUUCAUCAGCGCGUGUAAUAUAGUUAUAAUGGUUAAUUAUUUUUCUUUUUAAAAAAAUCAACAGGAUAAAAAGGAAAAUAAGUAUAUACUAGCAUUGAAAAGAACAGAAGAACCAAAAUAUUAUUUUCGAUAAUGUAACAAAAAGGAUAGUGAUACGCUCCUAUUGAUUAAGUUUCUGUAUGCAAAAUCAUUGAGCCAUGCUGCAGACAUGUUCUAUCUUUCUGGGUUAGUGAUGGGCACAUCUUGUGUGCUCCCCCAUUAAUAAUAUAUUUUCUUUGCUUCUUAAAAAAUGCUACUUUUAUUUAACAAUUUAUCUUUUUUACAAAUUAAUACAUACUACAAUCUAGUCUAUUAUAUUGCGUAGUUUAGGGUUUUUUUUUUAAUUUGUUUACACAACUUAACAUUAUUUUAUAGUUUUGAACUUUCAUUGUUUAUUGUUCUUAUUAUGGGUAAAAAAACAAAAAACUUAAACAUUUAUUAAUGGAGAGGUAGAGGUAAUGAUUAUUCUUUGUCAGAUUUUGUUAAUCAUUGUCCUAAGGAAAAAGGAAAUAAAAAAAAAUUAAUGUAUAAAUUAUAAAAUAGUGUAAAAAAAAUCAUGAAAAAUAUGGUGUCAGCCUUCUUAAUUUCUUAACUAAUAUCUUUGAGACAUUUAUUAGCAUUUGUUUUAGUUAUAUAUUUAGUAAACAUUUAUUAAAUUUAUUGGAGGGAACUCCAAAAUAAUGCACAUUAAUUUACUAAAUGUAUUAAGACAUGGAUCCCGUCCGUGAAUCCUGGUGCUUAGUUUGUUGUCAUUUGCCACUACAUUUUAUGCUCAAUUUGUUUAUAAGCUUGCCAUGCCCAUCUGAUAACAACUCAUUUCCACUUUUUGGAGUUACAUACAAGAUUGCCGUCAUUUAAUUUUUGAAAAUUUUAUUGAUUAAGUAAGGUUUAUCAUCAAUUUGAUGGAACAUAUAUAUACUAACAUUUCCAUCUAAAUUCUACAAUUAUUAUUAUUAUUAUUAUUAUUAGUAGGAUAAAUUGUAAUUUUUUUCUCCUUUAUAUUUCCAUCUAAAUUCUACCUAUGUUUAUUUAUUUUAUUUUAUUAUAUUUUAAUUAAUUAAAUUAUUUUUAUGGUACCUUAAAUAAAUAUGUUAGGUCUAAAAUUUAAUUGGAUCAAAAUAAAAGAAAUAAAACAUAUACAAAAUUGAGAAAUGAACCUAAAUUAUAAAUUUUGUAAAAAAGUGGACUAAAAUCACAUAAAAAAUUAAACAAACUAAAAUUGUAACUUAUUAUUAUUAUUUUAUUAUUAUUAUUAUUUGAAAAUCAAACAAUUCUCAAAGUCAAAAACAUAAUUCGCGUGUUUUUUUAAAAAAAAAUUAAGAAUAAAAUUCAUUGAUAUAAAAGUAUAACAACCUUGAUUACCUUUAACCAAAUAUAUAGAAACUAUACACAUAUUUCCAAUAAGUAAACUAACAUCCAAACACAAACUUCACUAACCACAACCAAACCACAGAAUUACAAUUUACACCACUCUGAUGUUUUUUUUUCUCGGUUAUUUAGUUUAUGCUUUUAUUUAUUCUUUAUAUAUGUCCCAUUAUAAUGUAAGAAGAAAAAAUAAGUAUUAAAGUAAGCCUUGUUUUAGUUUUUUUAAUAUAAUAAUAACCACUUUUUCCUACUAAUACUCGUAAUAAGUAGUAUUAUUUUAACUUUUCAAUGUAAUAUUAGUCUAAAUUAGUCACGUACAAAACUUUUCAAGCUCAUUAACAGCACCCCGGAUACACAAGGCUAAAAUUGAUUAUCAUGUUGCAACUUUGAUCAUCAGAAUCUGAACAGAUUGAACUUCCAAAAUUGCUCUAAGAGUCUCAUUUCUUGUUGAAGAAGCUAGAUAGUUGACUACAAAAAUGUAAUCAAACCACUAAAUUAAUGAAGGCAAACAUAAUAAAAAAGAAAUUCAUGUCACAAAGUUUUAGGCUAAAACCUUCACAUGGAACAAUCAAUGCUAUCUUCUAGAUCUGUUUUUGAAACUUCUCAAGCAAACAUAUUAAACUUAGUUGGAACUCAUCAAAUACCACAAGCUGGAUAAAUUCAGCUUCAUCCCUACCCAUUGCAAACUAGAGAGUUAAAAAUUUUGACUAACCCAAAUUGUUUGUAUGGGCUUCCUGGGCUGAUUGUUUUGUUGGGCCUACAGUUUGCAAUUUUGCACCCUGUAUUAGUUUGUUGGUGUUGAAAUUUAGGAUGGAGAUGAAAAAAUUAACUAGUUGGAUAUAAUUUUAAGGACUGAUAAAAUUAGAAUACUGAUAUAAUUUUAUUGUUGUAAAAUAUAGAUUUUGUGGCUAAUAUCAGAGCCUUAGAGCUGUACUUCCACACUUUACAAAUGAUAUACCAAUUUUUCUUUAUAAACCUUUUCACCUUUUUAUUUUUCAGAUGUUUCACAAUAUAUAGUUUUUUUCACCUUUUUCUUUAAGAAUAAUUGAAUUUUUUAUUUUUUUUUUGCAAAUAACAGUAAUGAAACAAUAGUUUUAAGAAGGAUAUAUAAAACUGAUCAACAAUCUUACAAGUCUUAUCAAUUAUCUGGUGGGCGACAAAGGAAAACCAAAAAAAGAAAAAACAAGGAACAAAAUCAGUUCUUUAGAAAACACACCCCUGGUGCUUUGGUGCAUCCGCAUGUAACCAAGUGUCAUUAAUCUUUUCUUAUAAAUUGAAAAGCUUAAAUACAUGUCACCUACGUAUAAAUUGGUUGGAACUAUGGACACUUGGUAGUCUGGAUUACUUAAUACUAUUUUUUUGCAAACAAAAGAGAUAGCAAUUAAUCCAAUGUGAAGGGAAGGGGAAUCCAAGAACAUGAAGCUCUGCCCAGAAGUUUAAGAACCCAUGUUUUUUGCCGAGAUAUCCGCAUAUUGAUUUCCUUCUCUAUGGAUAUGCUGGAUACAAACUAUAUUCCCGAUUAUAAGUUGUAACAUGUCUCUGCAGAUUGAUAAAUAAUGGCAGCAAACAUGUUAAAAGGUUGAAAAUUGCGUACCAUUACAAGGUCAUUCGGUUAAUGCAUGGUUUUAUAGAAUUUUAUAUAACUUUGUUAUUAUAAACAAAAUAUGUAUCUUACUAGGUACGUACUGUUUCUUUUGAUUAAGAGGACUAUCAACAACAUAAGCUAGCAUAUUAGUGGUGAGGGCUCUCAGGCUGCCACGUACGUAGUAGGUCUUUGCGACCACAAGGGCAAGGCUAAAGGUGGAUGUGUGAAAAGAGGUUGUUGGGGGCAAGAUCUGAGGUUGGUGGCAUUAAGAAUUAAUUAAGAUGGUGUAACGUCCCUCACUCUGGAAUCUUAAGCUCUUUUUUCUUACGAGUUUGCAACCCAAAAGGUCGUUCUUCAAUUCUUCUACAUGAGUACGUAGGACAUUAGAGUUGAGCAACAUUAUGUAUACUUCGAAGGUCGUGUGUAUUUUACACCAAAAACAAUUUUACUUGAUGAACAGUAUAAAAUUACUAUGAUAAAACUUUUGUUUUAAAUGAUUUAUUUGAUAAUUGAAUUAAAUAAUUUAAUUUAAUUAAAUAAAUAUUUUAAUGAAAUAUUAUUAUAUUCUUCACUGAAAAUAAGGAUAUAAUUAAUAUAAAUAAAAAGUAUUAUUUUAUAAAUAUGAAAAUUGUUCAUGAAAUAAGAAUAAUUAAGAUUCCACUGUGACAUGCCAAGAUCAUAUUAUGUGCUUAGUUGUAAAAAAAAAGUGAGAUAGUUUUUAUUUUCAUAUAUAAAAAUAAAGGAAUAUGAAAUUAUUUUAAAUAAAAUCUCUUUUUUUAAAAUGUCUAAAUUUGUAUAUCUUUAACUUUAUACAUAAACAUAUAUGUAAGAACAAAAUGUACCACACAAACUACAAAAAUUCAAGCUAAAUUUUUAGAUCUGAAAAGUUAAAAAAAAUAGUUUAUUCUUUAGAAUUUGACUCAAAGUGUUUAAUACGUAGAGUCUAUGUAUUAUUAUUAAGAAAAAAUUUGUAUAUCUAUUUAUCGAGUGUAUAAAUUUAUUUAUUUAUUAUUAUUGUAUAUUUUGAAGGUAAAAUAAAUCUUAUUUUUUUUUAUUAUAAGUGUUGAAAAUACUUCUAUCUAAACAACCGAUAUAAAUAUCUUGGGUUUCCUCUUUCCUUGGUGCCAAUUUAAUGUAUUGAUAUAAUUAAAUAAAAAUCACAGGCCUAAUGAAAAAUCAUUAUAAUAACUAAUGAACACAUGCAAGGGAAAAAUAUACAUAAUUAGGAUCGAGCUAUACAAUAUACGGAUCAAAAUUAAUAUCGACACACACAUUCACUAAAAUGAUAAAAAAAAUACCUAAAUGAAUCGAAAGCUGCAGUUAUAUAUCAUAAACCUAAACGUUGUUCAUUUUCAUCAUAUAUAGAGAGAGCGUGACGUAAAAGAGAUAUGAUCACUUACAUCAUUUACUGACUUUUAAUCAGAUACUUUUACUCUAAAAUAGAUAUAUAACCAUAUAUACUUGAAUUGAUAAAAUAGUAGAAUUUAUGCAGUUUCUUAACAGAUCUGCAUUUUCCAAAAUGCAAAUUUGGCAUGGAAAAACCCUCUAAUUUGUUUAGGAAACAGAAAGAGACCUGGAACAAAAAUAUCGAUUCAUGAAUUAAUUUGCAUGCAUCUUCUCUGGAUUAACAAUUAUUGUCAACUACCAGUCCUUCGUUAUUCUGUUAAUUCUUUCUUUCCCAAAAGAGACUUAGAUAUCAAUAUCAUCCAUUAUAUAGAUAUAUCGUAUAUGAAAUCGGAACACAUGUUUAAUAUCCAAACUAUAGUAACAAACUAAACAACCUUUUCAUCAGAUUUCACAAGUUCUAUAUAUAAACAUACAAGUGCGUGCUCACACCCACGUAAAUCGAUCAAAUCUUAAUUGUGAAGCCAACGCAAGACAGUGAAUAUGAAAUUGCUUACUAGAUAAAACGGUGGUAUAGUAUCCUCUUGAGAAUAUUCAAUUUAGAUUUCCACCAACAAUUAAUGCUAUCAGCCAUUGAAAUACUUCUUUAAUUUCUCAGAUAUCCUCAAAGCUCCAUUUGCAGAUUCCCCUACCUGAAAAAUGCAAAAACAAUAAAGUUACAUAAAAUUCAUAGGGCAGAGGGCAGAAAGGGGAAUUUAUGUUUCACCUGAUGACAGUGUAUUGUAUGAAAAACUUCAUUUUCAACAACGGUAUAACUGGCAUUAACAACAUCUGAUCCUUCUUCUUGAAGAACACGAACGGUCUCAUUGAACAUGAAUUGACAAUCCAACCCAGUUAUUAGAAAAACCUCUAAAGUUGAACCCAUUUGUUGGAUUUUAAAUUGUGGAGACUUCAACAAUCCCAUAUUCAUGCUAACAUUUUUUGAUCUUUUAAUGUCUAUUAGGUUGUUCUUUUUCUCCUUCAUUUUCUCUAAUUUAAUCUGUAAAUUCUUUAUGUAAUUUGUGGCUUCACCUAUCUGAUCCGGCCGCGAAAUGGCCUCCUACAAAAAGAUUCAAAUAAAAUUGAGACGUUUGUGUGCAUAUAAUAAUAUAAGAGCAGUUGGUUAAGUAAUUAUAAGAGAAAGAGAGUAAUAAUACCCUUGAGCUUUGAUGAGGCACAACUGAGUUGAGCUUGAAGAAAAGAUCCUUCAAAUGAUUUCUUCUAUUCUGUUCAAUGAAUUUUCUAUCAGUUCUUGAUGAUGAACUAGGGUUGUUCUCCAUUAAUUAAUAUCCCUUAUGAAUGCAAUAGCUCAUCCGCUAGAGAACUCUGAAUACUCAUCAUUGAUUUCAUUAAAAUAUAAUACUUUUCAGACAAGGGUUGCAAGGUAAUUGGAGUUUCUCGUGGCUUUUAGAAAAGCUAGUUAGUAUCAUUGGAUGCUACUGAUAAAGGUUCAUGUGAUAUAGAUGUGGUGGGGCACCAUUUUGUCGGAUAUAUAUACAUUUUUUUUCCUUUUUUGGUUCCUAUGAUGAACACUAAAUAUAAAUGCCCUAUCAAAAUCCACCAAUGUGGGCUUACUAAUUUUGGACCUCCACCAAUGUUAAAGAAAUAUAUACACAUAUAACAGCAAUUUAAGGAUUAAAAUAUUUCUUAUAUUCUAUUAAUAUAUUAUAUAUUCGAUUUUUUUAUUGAUGAUAUAAAACAACAAUGUAGGAAUUUCAGCUGUAACAGUUUUUAGGUGUAAUAGAUAAUUGAAACUGGCAUUUUACGUACUGCUCUGAAGUAGUUAAUGACUUUUUCACUUAUUAUUAUAUCAGAGAUUAUAAUUUUAAAUAAUUACUAUAUAUCUAAUAUUUUAUUGAUACAUACAUAAAAAUGAUAUUGUUGUACCUACAAAAGAAUAAUUAGGUAAUCUUUCUUCUUGCUAACUCUUUGUCUAAGGUCUUAUGCUUCUAGUGAUUGAUGCUUGACUGUAAAAGGAAGGAAACUCAAGUCGGAUUUCAAAUAAGAAUAAUAAACAAGCAUAUUUAAUAUGUUAUGAAUAGUCUUUCCUUGAUAUUCUCACAUGUAGUUAUACAUAUUUUAAUGGGUACUUGAACCUAUGGGCAUGAAUACUUAUGUGUUUUAUAGAUACUUUCCUGAUUCAUAAUCAGGUACUCUGUUAGACUGAGUACUUGGAUACUCUUUAGGAAUAACUUGUUUUCUGUGUGUUAAGGUUGAAAGAUAUUUACGACUAUUCGGUAUGAUACAAUUGUGAUGUACAAUACACCAGAAACAUAUAUAAUAUAAAAAAAACUAUCCUCUAUUAAUGCACAAAAAAAUCAAAACUUUAAGAUUAAUUUACAUCCGCUAAUAUAACGCAAAUUAUCAGUAUAAAUAUUAUACAUGGGUUUGUAUUUUAUCAUUUUUUUGAUAACGAGUGGUUGAUUAUUAUGAGAAAUAAAAAAAUAAUUACACUAUUACAUUUAAUUAACUCUUCAAAUAAUGUAAUUAAUAGAUUAACCAAUAAAAGGUGGUAUAUAUAUAUAUAUAUAUAUAUAUAUAUAUAUAUAUAUAUAUAUAUAUAUAUAUAUAUAUAUAUAUAUAUAUAUAUAUAUAAAAUAAAUAAGAUGUUGCUUUGCAUAUAUAGCUAGCUAGGUUGUAGUGAGAACUAGGAAACAUUAAGUAUGAAAGUAAUAAGACAAAUGCUAAUCACUUGAUUAAAUUAAUUCAUUAUGGUAGUGAAAGUAAUUAAAAUUUUGCGAAUUUCACAUAUACUUUAUUUUAUUUUUCACGACAAUCAAAUCAUUUAAUUUUUUUUUUAAAAAAAGUAUAAUUUUCCUCCUCAUUUUAAUUUUUUCAACCCGAAGACAGCAUAACAAAAAUUUUAAUUUCGUACCCGAGGCACAUAUACCCCAUGUAAGAGGACGAUCACCCCAUUGCUAAGGAUAGAGUUGAUCAGCAUUACUCUGAGACCAUGGGAGAUGGAGUAGUGAUCAACUUUUUUUUCCCUUUUAGUUGGUGGUUAGGGGAGAGUGAUGGGAGGUAUCCUAGGGGAGCCAGAAGUAAAGCCUUGUUUUAGAGUCUAGGGUUUAAAUCCAAAAAUAAAGAAAAAAAAUUAUUAUCUCAUAAGUUAAAACUAGUUUAUACAUUUCUUCAUAAGUAUUUAUAGAGAGAGAAAAAUAGAAAACUAAAAUAAAUUUAUUUCAUAAGUUAAAAUUAGUUUAUACAUAAGUUAAUUUUAACUUAUAAGAAAAACUUAUCUUUUUUCUUAUUAUUCUUUGUAAAGUUUUUAGGGAUAAUAAUCUUAUUUAAAUAGGAUCUUAAUACGAACGAAUUUAACUCACUUGAUUAGUAUUAAUUCUUGUUAUUUCCAAUUUGGAACAAUUAAAUAGUACUGGCAUUAAAGAAAGAAAAUCUGCAGAGUUUGGAUUUCACGAUUAAAGAUUGAAAUGGACGUAUAUCAGGAUAUGUCGAUGUGUAUUCUGCUUUGUACCUGCAAAUUAUUUCAAAUCGUCGCCUUUUACACUUUAAGGAGAGUACUUUUCAAACCUUUGAAUGUAUCUGAAAAUUCACUAACGCGUGAUCUUUUUCUCUAGCUGGAUUUGAAUCUGUUCUAUUUUGGUCUUACAACUUAGCUAUAAUUUUAAGUUUGGGCUGGAUUGCUCCAACUAUAUGUGCAGUAAUCAAAUAUUAUAUCUCGUUUUCAUAAUUUGGGAAAUGGUGGCACUUUCUAAUCCCCUGGAUUACAAGCAACAUAAAACAUCCGCUACAACAUAAUUACUUAACAAGUAUUUUGCUGUUAAAAGAAUCUACUUCAUUUGAUUAAGCAAGAGUAUAUGUGUGAAUUAUUGUCAGUUAAACUAGAGUGUAUGUAUGAGUUAUUGUAAAUUCUAUAAUAUUAUUUUUUAUUUCAACAGAUUAAAAAAUAACUGUAUUUUACUCGGUUUUCAAGCAAAAGAAAACCUAGUGAUGCUGAUUGUUGAAUUUUGCACCAAAUUGAAACUGUGACAAUUUCGCUACUAAGUACUUUAUCAUUCAGGAAUUAAUGUUAGCGGAAACCACCUCUAUGCUCCCCUUUUUACGGGUAACAGUUUUCAAACAAUUAAUAAUAUGUGGCAGUGGUUGAUGCUUGCCUUAUGUCAUGCUUCGACCAAGAGCACUUAUUUUUAGAAUUUUUUAGAGUCAUCCCACACUUUUAAUUGUCAAAAUUAGAGAAUUAAAUUAGAAUUAUGCAUUUUGGAUUUGGCACUUUAAUGUUAAACAUAGAAUCUUUUGGGUUUUUUUGUGUGAUCACCUUCGUUCUUAUGUGAGCCUUUAGCUUCUUAGUUAUUAAUAAUUUGAUCCAUGCUUUAUAGUCAUCCCCACGCUUUAAUGUUUUAUAUAUACAUAGAUAGAUAGACAUAUUUGGGUGUGCGUAGGUUAUAUAUAUAUAUAUAGGGAACUUUGUCAUAGCUAAGUUGGGAUACGCCUAGACAUGGGUAUUAAGUACGUGAGUUCUUAAUUAGGUACGUACCAUGUUCUUUUUUAUGAUUUGGAGAGAUUUUAAUUUGUAUGAAUUGAAAGUUGAUAUACUCGACAGGUGUUCUCUGACUCGUAUAUAAUCAUAAGUUAAUUUUAACUUGUAAAAAAAAUAAUUUCAUUUUUUUAUCAUUUAUUUAUUUAUUUUAGAAGUACUUUUUUAAAAAAAUUAUCCACACAUAUCCUAAAUAGGUAUUACAUGGGUAUAAGUACGUAGUCAUCAAAUCAUUAUAAUUAAUAUACACAACAUACCCCAAAAUAGCUUCACACAUCCAAGUUCUCUGUGUAAAGUAAUCGUACGGCAAGCUAUCAUUAGUGUAAAAAUCACGUUUCAGCUUUUGACGCCAAAGAAACAAAAUGUCAUUGUAGUCUCAACUCAACACGCUAUGCUGUAACCUUUGUGCCUUGUGGGGUUUUAGUCUCCAAAAACUAACACAAAGAAUUGGCUCCUUCAUUUUGUCGUAUCUAAAGAUUUUGCAUGCACAAUAAUUGUCAAGUGCACCCUAUAAUAAUUACCCAUGUUCAUGGCAACUAAAACUAAAAGGAAUGGUGUCCUUAUAAAGUGGUUUUAGGUCUUGGUACUUAAGCCACAAACUGGAAAAAGAAACCAUUGGAAAACGACUAUUCCAGAACUCGAAUUGAAUUUGUUAUGUUGAAUUCAGACACAUAUCUCAGUGAUCUACAGUAUUUAUUGCAGGACAGUGAAACACUGUUAGUAAGCAUUGGCUUUCAUCUUUUAUCAUUUGUGAUGGGUUCUAUUGGGUGGAUAGGGAGAAUUGAACAUUGGAAACCUCAUGCAAAGUAAUAAUGGAAGUAUAUCUUUGGGGAGUUUCAUUCCUUUCAUAUGUGAGGUGCCUCUAUGCAUAUAGGUGGUUCACUUUAAUGAGAUAAAAAUGUCUUAUACUGGUCCAAAGAAUUAUUGUAUAUGGUACAUUUUCUUUUCUUUUACGGGAGACCUUUUUGUUAAGAUGUGACUGUUGGAACUGUCUAACAAAUUAUAAUAGAUAAGAUUUUUAUGUUAAUUCAACCCCUCUUUUUGUUAAGUUCAUAAUUAAUUUAACCCUCCUUUCUUAAUUAUUCUGAGGUCACUUGAUCCAACAAUCAAAGAUGCAAAGGGCAAAGACGUAUUCAGGGUGAAAAUGAAGGCUAAAAGCUAUGCUCUAAAUCUGAUGGAGGAGAAACAAAUAGCUUUUUCAAGCAUGACCACCAAUGUUGAACUAUGGCACAAAAGACUCGGACACUUCCAUCUUGUUGGACUUUUAUACAUGCAAAAACAUGCCUUGGUGAAAGGUAUGUCAAUGCUUGAAGACAAGUUAGCCGAUUGCGCAGCUUUCCAAUAUGGUAAGCUAGUCAGAAAACCAUUUCCUCAAUCAGCUAGGAGAGCAACUCAAAAGCUGCAAUUGGUUCACACAAAUGUUGGGGGACCUCAGAGAGUAUCAUCUUUAAAUGGUAAUAAAUACUAUAUUAGAUUUAUUGAUGAUUAUACUAUAUUUUGUUAGAUUUAUUUCUUUAAAUCCAAGACUAAGGUUGCUAAUAUUUUCUGGAAAUUUAAAGCAUUGGUGGAGAAUCAAAGUGGUUGUAGGUUGCAAACAAUAAGGUCUGACAACGGGAAGGAAUACAAAUAUGAUGUUUUUGAUAAAUUUUGUGAAGAAGCUGACAUUGAGCACCAACUCAUCGUACCUUACACCCCACAACAAAAAAGGUGUGAGUGAGAGAAAAAACAUAAGUAUCAUGGAGAUGACAAGGUGUAUGCUGCAUGAAAAGGAGUUGCUAAAGGAGCUAUGGGCAGAGGCUACAAACACUAUAGUAUUUUUGCUGAAUAGACUACCUACAAGAGUUUUGCACAAAAAAACUCCAUUUGAAGGCUGGUUUGGUUACAAACCAGAUUUACAAAAUCUAAAAAUCUUUGGUUGUGUUUGUUUCUCUUAUGUUCCACUAGUUAAAAAGGACAAACUUGAUAAGAAGGCAGAGCCCGGUGUUUUCAUUGGAUACCGCAACACCUCCAAAGCUUACAGAAUUUUCCAACCCCAAAAUGGGAAAAUUCUUGUGAGUAGAGAUGUCAAAUUUAUGGAAGAUCAACAAUGGAGUUGGGAUGAGCCAAUAAGGAAGCAGCUGCCAGAAAUCCCACAGUUCCUUGAUGAUGAUGAUGUAGAUGACAUUCCUGUUAAAGGUACAAGAUCUUUAUCUGAGAUUUAUCAAAAGAGCAAUGUAGUUGUCCUAGAACCUGCAGAAUUUGAAAAAGCUAAAAAGGAUGACAAGUGGAUAAAUGCUAUGAAGGAAGAGUUGAAAAUGAUCGAAAAAAAUGACACGUAGAAGCUAGUGAACAGACCUCAACACAAACAACCUAUAGAGGUAAAAUGGGUUUAUAGAACCAAACUUAAUCCAGAUGGUUCUAUAAAUAAAUACAAGGCCAGGUUGGUGGUAAAAGGCUAUGCUCAGGUGUUUGGAGUGGAUUUUUCAUAAACCUUUGCUCCAGUUGCACGUCUUGAUACAAUUAGAAUGCUACUUGCCUUGAUUGCACAUAAAAGGUGGAAAGUUUAUCAUUUAGAUGUAAAAUCUGUCUCUCUAAAUGGUUACUUGCAGGAGGAGAUUUUUGUAGAGCAACCUGAGGGGUUUCAAAUCAAAGGAGAAGAGCAGAAAGUUUACAAGUUGAAAAAGGCAUUAUAUGGUCUUAAACAGGCUCCUAGGGCCUGGUACAGCAAGAUAGAUGAUCAUUUUCAGGAUCUUGGAUUUGUCAAAAGUCCAAGUGAGGCUGCAUUAUAUGUGAAAUUGGUAGAUGCAAAUUCAAUCAUUAUUGUUGUCUAUGUUGAUGAUUUACUUGUGACAAGAAGUGAUGAGAAACUCAUAAAGGAGUUUAAAGUUGAAAUGCUUAAAGCAUUUGAAAUGAAAAAUCUUGGCUUGAUGAGUUUCUUUUUGGGAAUAGAGGUGAAACAAGAUCAUGGUGGGAUCCUCAUUCACCAAAAGAAGUAUGCAAGGGAAAUACUCAAGAAGUCUCUUAUGGAGGACUGCAAAAGCACUACAUCUCCAAUGAACCAAAAGGAGAAAUUUAGCAAGGAUGAUGGAGCUGAUAAAGUUGACGAAAUGCAUAACAGAAGCUUAAUUGGUUGCUUAAUGUAUCUUACUGUAACCAGACCUGACAUUUUGUUUGCAGUAAGUAUACUUUCAAGGUUCAUGCAUUGUGCUAGUGAAGUUCAUCUUCAAGCUGGCAAACGAGUUGUUAGAUAUGUUAAAGACACUUUAGACUAUGGUAUAAUGUACUUUCAUUCUCAUAAUUUUAAGCUUCAUGGAUAUUCUAAUAGUGACUGGGCAAGUUGUAUUGAUGACAUGAGAAGCACCUCUGGUUACUGUUUUUCCUUUGGUUUUGGAGUUUUUUCUUGGUGUUCUAAAAAGCAAGAAGUUGUAGCUCAAUCAACUGCAGAAGUAGAGUAUGUAGCUGUUGUUGCUGCAGUGAAUCAAGCUCUUUGGAUCAGGAAAAUUAUGACAUAUUUGCAUAUGAAACAAGAAGAAAGCACACAGAUUUUUGUGGACAACCAGGCUGCAAUCUCAAUUGCUAAUGAUCUGGUGUUUCAUGGCAAAACUAAGCAUUUCAAGAUAAAGCUUUUUCUUCUAAGAGAAAUUCAAAGGGAAGGAGAAGUGAAGUUACUGUACUGCAAAACAGAGAAUCAAAGUGCUGACAUUCUGACCAAGGCACUUCCAAAAGCCAAAUUUGAAUACUUGAGACAAAAGUUUGGAGUUUGCAAUUCCAAAGUCAAGGAGGAAUGUUAAGAUAUGACUGUUGGAACUGUCUAACAAACUAUAAUAGAUAAGAUUUUUAUGCUAUUUUUUAAGAAAAAUAAAAGUCAUAUUGACUAAUAGGAUAAAUCAAUUUUGAUCCUAUUCUUUAGGCAUGAUCUGUUAGUGAUGUUAUCUUUCUAUUAGUCGUUACUUUCUUUUAUAUGUUUUUAAAUACGUUGUUUCAUAUCGAAAUAAAAUAAGUCUUUACCGUCUCAAUUUCUUUCUUUACGUUUCCUUCCAUUCUUUAAUAUUUCUGGCUACUGUUGUUAACAAAAAAAUGACACUUUUUUUUACAUGUGGUAGAUCUAGCUCCAAGUUUUUCCACCCCAUGAAAUUCAUAUCCUAAAUUUUUUUUGUAAAUAGGGUAGUUCAAAAGGCAGAGAAACGACAUUGACAAAAAAUAUUUUGGAUUCAAUUUUUUUUUCUUUUAUGAAAGUCAUCCAUAAAUAUUUUUUAAAGUUCUUGGUAUGAUAUUAUUACGUACGUUAUGUUUUUAUUUGGUAAUUAAUAUGACAACAUCCUGUCCUUAGCCUUUCAAGCUCUUUAUAACUUUUGUUUCAUUCUUAUAGGUACAUUAUAGAUGUUGCUAUUAGUUAGACAAAUGGCAAUCUUUCAUUAAAUAAUUAAUUUAUACGCCAAUAUACUAAAACAAUUUGUUCCUUUAGUACAGCUUCAAACCUAUAUGGUUGAUCCCGGUUAUAAAUUUAUACCACAUAUAGAUUUAUAAGUGAAAAAAGUAAGUUUUUGUAUGGUUUCACAGGAAUAAUAUGAUUUUUGAUGGGCAAUCUCUGGAGCAAGACUGUGUUUUGGAAACUAUCAAACGCAAAUCCUGGUUGUGGUUGGAUUCUUAUGUCAAACAGUUCAAAUACUCCUUCUUCGAAUACUGGCAUUCGAAUGAACCCACUGCUAUGCCUCAAAUGGUUAUGAAGCGUGAGGAAAUUAAGGGAAGCAGGGACAUGGAUAUAAAAAGCUGCAUGUAGAGAUUUAUGAAAUUUGGUUAUGGGUAUUUAUCAUGGGAAAAGGGCUGUUAAAAAUUACCAAGUAUGAUACCUGGGUUUAUUUUGUAAUAUAUGGAUCUUGGGAUAUUCGCUGGUAAAAUAUUUGCCAGGGGAUAUUAUCCUUUAUAUGAUGCUCCUUGUUUUGUAAUUGGUAUCUUUGAUACCCUUAAUAAAAUGUUUGUUUGCAGAUAAAAAGAAAAACUAGAAUUCGUACAUUUAACUAUGAUGUAUAUACAAUAUCUUGCAAACGAAAUUCUAUAUAUUUUUAUUUAUUUUUUUGUUUUUAAUCAUUAUAAGGCUUGAUGUUCGUGAAUUGAAUGAUCAGUUUUAAAGAGAAAAAUUAUUAUGUUGAAUCACUUUGAUUUUCUUAGUUCAUCAUCCAACUAAUUUGAUUCAAAAUUUUAAUUUGAUUUAAUUUGGUUUCAUUUAAAAUGACUUGGAUUGACUCAGUUUUUUAUUUUAAUCCUAUUUUUUCUUUGAGAAAAUAUUAAAUAAAUGGUAAGAUUUAUAAAAUACAGUAAAAAAUAAUUUAAAAUGUCCAACAUUCCAUUUAUAUGUCACUAUAUAACUAAUGAUAGUACAACUUCUUAAAUAUAUAUUAUAUCAAAAAUAAAUUUAGACAAUUUGAUAAUUAUAUUUAUGCAUCAUAACUAAAAGAGUUAGUUUUAUAAAAAAAAAAUCUCAAAGAGUUAGUAAAAAAAUUAUCUUUUAUAUAUUAAAUAUGUUUUUCAUAAAUAAGUAUAAAUUAUAUGAUAAUUUAAUAAAUAUAUAAGAAAUAAAAAUAUCAACAUGAAUGAUAUGAAUUUAUAAUAAAAAUAUAUACAUGUAUAAGUUCAAUUUGAAUUGGAUUGAAUCCAUUUUUAAAAUUAAAUUUGAAAUCCAAUACAAUUCAAUAAAACAUUCCAAUUUUUCACUUUUUUUAUUCAUUUGGUUUCUGGCUGCUUGGACUAGAUUUUUCCCAUCGGAUUGAAUCAUUUUAUGAAUACCCCUAGCUUAAUUGCACUUUUGUUACCGUAAUUGUGUGAUUUAAAUCCUAUACUCCAAUUCUGGAUUGGAUCUUCAAAUCUUACAAUUGUAUAAUUUUAAUCCUCCCAUGAAUAUUUGGUAAAUAUUUAACAAAUAUUGCCAACACACAUUAGAUGAUAAAAUGUCAAUAUCAGUGUUGGCAUAUAUGUUGGCAUGUAUGAUGAUAUUGCUUAAUUAUACUUUUUGUUUCUUAGAUAUUAUAAUUAUGAGUGAUCAUAAUUGAAUCGUGAUUAACAUAUGUGUCAGAUAAUUUGUCAGUUAUUAAUUUGUCAUCUCAUGUUAAGUGAUAACGUUGUUUUGAUAAUAAAAAUAUAUUGAAAAUAUCUUUAAAAAUAUUUAUUUAACAGUUAUUUUUGACUUAAAUGAUAAGAAUAUUUUUGUUAUUUAUGACUUGCAGAUGUGAAAAUAAUGGAUUAAAAGAGAAAAAGAUCGAGAAAAUAUAAAAAAUAUGGAUAAGGAAGAUUUUCAGCAUCAGUGGAUAAGGAAAAUUUUCCGCAUCAGGCCCAAGUUCACUACAACAACUAUAAAAAGAGAGUCAAGCCAAAGCGAUCUAUAAUGUACUCUUCAUUAUUUAUCAAUGAAAUACCACGUGUUUUCUAAUCCAUUAUCUUUUCUGCUUUUAUCUUAUUCAUCUUUGUAUUCUUUUAGGGGUUGUAUGCUUGGGAGAUGAUAACUUCUAAAUAAGAUUAUUUUAACAUCUAGACUUCAUACUUCAUGUAUUUUAUUUGUUGAGUAUUUUGCAAAGGAAGUUGGGAGAUAAAUAAAUAGAAUAGACUUGUCAUCAUGAGGAAUGGAAUUAGGGGCAAGAAUGUGGGUAAAAUAGAAUCACCUAAAUUGAUAAAGAAAAAUUAUAAACUCAUACAUCCUACGCAAACAAGGAAUGUUAGGUUCCAACAUUAUCUGAUUUUCUUUUAUUUUUAUCUUUUAUUUUUCUCAUCUUAUCUUAUUUUUUUAUCUUUAUCUUAAUCUUUUAUUGUUCUUAUCUUUUACUUUUAUUUUCUUAUUUUCUUUAUCUUUUAUUUUGGUCUUUAAAUCUUUGUCUUAUAUAUUUUUUUAUCUUUAUUUUAAAUUCUUUAUCUAUUACUUUUAAAUUGAAUUUGCAUUAAUCUAAGUACAAAUAAAGUCCGUCUGUAUUCGACACUCGAACUUCCAAAUAUUUUAUUACUUGUGACAAUUUGAUACAUUUGUCAACGAGUUGACAAAAUUGAUUUAUAAUUUAACAAAAGAUUGAAAAAAUGAUCAAAAUUACAUAAUUUUAAUGCCUAUACAACCUAAUUUUUCAAUGUAAAAAUAAAAUAAAAAAGUUUUUUCAGGACCAAAAGUCAAGAUAGGAUUUAUUUAAAACUAAAUACAAAAUCCAAAAAAAAAUGAGCAAAAUUAAAAACAUACACAAAUUGGUGCCACGUAUAUAAACAUUUCUUUUUCAUGAACCAAAAACAUGCAUGCAUUGAUGUCGCGUAUAUAAAUUUUGCGUUGAAUUACUGGUACCAACAACCACUAUUGUUUUAAGUUGCUUUAAUGAGAGAGAUUGUGUUAUUGUGGGUUAGAAUCCAUCAUUGAUAAAUAAUAUUUAUGGAUAAAAAAAUUAUUAUUUUGUGUUGCUUUAAUGAUAAUGUAGUAACUAUUAAAUUGAAGCCAGAGUAACAUAAUUAUUUUUGGGCGCCGGGUGACAUCUUCAUCCACCCUUUAACAGAUGAAUGAUGAUGAGAACCCAAGACUAUUCAGUCCUGUCUUGUUUAGAACAAGAAAAAGCCCAAUGACAUUAAAUCCACUUUAAAAAGAAGGUAUACAUCACGGGGCCCUACUGUAAGAACGUUUCAAUAAUUUAUAACGUGACAAUGCUUCCAAAUGCAAUACCACUAACCGAGGGCAUAGGUAAGCAAAAACAUUGCAUUUCGACAAAAACAAAAGAAUAGUCAAAUGUGACGCCAUGACAUUGACAUAGCUUAUUGUCAAAUUACAUCACCUACACUAAGUUUAAAUUUACAACUAUCAUGCUUAGUCAUGCUAUUAUAUACCUCUCCUAAUGAAACAAACCUAGGCUUUCUACACCUCAUAAUUAUAAUACUCAUUUUCUACAUGAAAGGCCUAAUCGAAGCCUUAACAUAGCCAAAACAACUUACCAAUAGAAUUUAGCAAGUCACAUGCAAUUUUUCAGAUUCAUUCAACAUACUUAGCUCGUGUAUGUAAAAGUGCUAAAAGGCAAUAACUUGAGAUGACAACACAGACAUCAAAACUGCUCUUACAACGUCAUUUAAGGGGAAAGUGUCGUGAAUGUGACUCAUUUACAGUCCUCAACAAACAGCUACUAAAUAAUGAAGUUUAUGAUAUUAAGCUUUCAAUGACAGAAUACCACGUGGUAUUGUAACCUAAACCAUAAAUUAGUGAUGAUUUUUUUUUCGUUCAUAUGUAAUGGAAGUGAAUGAUUUGUUUAGUUAAAGAAUUUGUAUUUGAUUAUUAUCGUGUUAAAUUAUUUUUUUUGGACAACUAACAUACAGUAAAAUUAAUCUUUGAUUCAAUAAAUCUAAAAAUAAAUAAAAAAAAAUAACAUAUUAUACAAGUAUUUAGUUGAAGCCAAAGUAGUCGAAUAUAUUACAUAAACCCCAAAAGCAACAGCUCAUAACACUAAGCUUUAGUGUCACAUGCAUGCCGAAACCUACCUGUGCAAGUGUGCAUUAAGUCACUGAAUACUGAGACAUUUAGAUGGGAAAAGGUAAUCAUCAAUAAAAAGUGUUGAUCCAUAUCAGCUACAUUAAUCUUGUUAAAUACUUUAAUACCCUCGUGUCUCAACAAAUAUCUUAUAUGACUAUUUAAUCCAAAAUUAACCCAAAACCAUAUCAGUUAAAUUUUAAGAGAAUUUUUUUGCUUUAAAUAAGUUAUAUAUUAGGCAUUUUUUGUCAAUGUGUAUGAUAAUUUUGUCAAAAUGUGACUUUUUUUACUUUAUAAAAAAUAUCUUUUUGUCUGUAGACUUAAAGUUUGAAUUUUAGUUGUCUUAUCCUCUUACUAGCACCUUACAUUUAUAUCAUUUAUAUUUUUCAUUUUUAUCAAUUCACAAUAAGUUGAAUAAUAAAUUAUAGUGCCAGGUGUUAACCAUCAAAUUUAAUAUCUUAGGUUGAUGACUUGAUUACCAUUCUGACAAGCCAGUGGUAGCCUUCUGAAGAUAUGCUUUAAAUUCAAUUUUAUAAGAGUAAAACAGAACUACAAAGAAAGCAAAAUAAGCAAUUAUGAAAUACACUCUCACCAGUUGAGUAUGCAAGGUUCAUUGCAUCAGUUAAGAAAAUAACACGAAAAAAAUAUAGAAUUAAAACUUUGACAUUAGAGAAACUAAAAAUAGAAGUACCUUGUAUAAUAACAAAUAAACAAGAAAUUGUGUCCCCACCCCUCUAAAAAAAGAAACUUAACCUAGUGCAAUUACUAAAUUGUAAACAGUAAAAACAAAAGCUGUUUUCACCUCAAUGUACAAGCCUACAAAUCAAUUUCCUCUUGCAUGAACAUCAUAAGGAGGACUACAGCUAGAGAACCUCAAAAAACAAACCUUUGGUUUUUCUUUUGGGUAAUUCAAACCAUUCAAUAUUAAUUACAAUGAACCCGGUAUACUACAAAAAGCCAGGCCACAUUGAAGACUCAUGUAAAUUUUGGUUUAGGCACAGGACCAUUAUUAUGAUGCACAGGACCAAGCUUUUGAAUCCAAUGGAGAAGCCCUUUCUUGUGAUCUUGGCAACAAGGAUUUUCCACCAGAGUCAGAGUUCCAUCAUGAGCAAGCGAAGAUUCAAAUUGUUCUAAUACCUUAACAACCUGCCAGAACUCGGGCCUCUUGUCCGGAUGCAAAGACCAACAUUGCUCGAUUAAAGCUCGCAUUGCAGGUGGACAGUCUGAAGGAAUAACUGGCCUUGCAUUCUGAAUACAGCAUCACAAAAGUAUUAGAAUUGCAUAGGUAAACAGUGUCAUUUAGCUAGCAAAAUAUUUUCCACAAUUAUCCAAUACAUGAUGAUCCUAAGAAUUCAAUUUAGCUCCAUUCUUGGUAAUCUUAUCAACUACUAUGCUACAUCACUUGAUGAAACAGAGACAUAUGUAAUAAUGACAUAUAAACUAAUGCAUGCUACAUCAAUUUUUUUUCCUCUUUUUUAAUAAGUUGGUCAUACAUGUCUAGAAUGGAUGAAAAUAAUCUCUAUAUUUCACCAUUGUUUUCAAAGCAAAGGAGGUAUCUUGCCAAGGAUUUUAGCCACAUCUCAAAAAUACAUUUGGUUUAGCUAUAAAAUAUAUAGUACUCAUCAGACGGGCUAUAAACUCAUUAGCAAUUAUUCAGUGGCAAUAUGAUUGAUUUCCUCAGCCAGGAUAAUGAUACCUCCUUUGGCAAUCAUCACUCAACAUAUUGAAAUAAAAGCUUUAAGAAAGAAAGAAAAAAUGAUGAAAAAAUGGAUGAAAAUUGAAAAGAGUAGUUAAAUCAUGAUAUAAGUGGAUGAAGCAUUGCAAAAAGGAAAAAAUGUCCUUCCAUUUACAACAUAAAAGGUUUCAACUGCUACAUCUGAGAGUAACAGUCGCUUUUAUAAAAUACAUUCAAAGAUUGCAAAACAUAUUAGUUAAUGGAGCAUGUAUUGUCUAUCUUCAAGCGAACUGUAUCAUUAAUGGAACCCAUGUCCAGUUUGCAUUACUCUUGUAUGCCAGUCAUUCAGAGAGGUUUGGGCGGAUAAAUGGGGCUGUAGACCUUUUCCUAUUAUUGACAAGAUUUCAAUGCAGAGUGCACAGAAAGCAAUGCAACUUUACAACGAGUAUUGUUACAGACAAUGAAGAAUAAUGCAACAAAUAUUAGUAGAUUGUGACAUUCACAUUACAAUUCAUAUGACUUAAUUGCGAAGAAACAUACCUUAUUUACUACGGCAAAAGCAGCCUGGAUGGGAGUCAUAUCCUCAUAUGGUAUAGUUCCAGUCACCAUUUCCCAUAAGAUAAGCCCAAAACUAUAUACAUCAACCUUUCUCCCAUAGGAUUUUCGUUUGAUCAUCUCAGGUGCCAUCCAGCGGUAGGUACCAGGGUCAUCAGCAAAUAAGUCACAGUAUGCUUCCUCACAAGCAAUGCCAAAAUCAGCAAUUUUAAGGUGAAAGUCUUCAUUGAUAAGGACAUUCUCCGGUUUAAGGUCUCGGUGAAUGACACCUUGAGAGUGUAUAUAUUCCAUUCCACGAGCAAUGUCCAGAGCAAAAGCAAUUAGCUUCCCUAGAGAAAUAGUUUUUCUUUCCAACUUAUGCAAAUAUGACCUCAACGAACCUUCUGAUAGAUAUUCUGUGAUAACACAAUAAACAUGUGGCUUUCUACAUGCUGCUACGAACUGUGUAAUCAGAUCAAGAUAAAUGAGAAGUGUGUAAGUACCAGCCUCCUAAUCACAUUAAAUUCUCUGAACAUGAUAUGAACUGCUCAAUCAGACUAUGGUAAAGAAUAUAAAAUGAAGUAUUCUUGAUUUUACUGGUGAUUAUCUCAACAUAACUAAAGGGUCAAGUACAGUAAUUAGCACAAAAUAAUGGAUAUUCUCACCCUGUAUUCAACAAGAAAAACAUAUAGUAUCUGAACAAAAGCGAAUGACAAAACUUAGAUAAAGUUCAGCAGGUGCGUGUAGUGCUGUUCUUCACUAAAAAUGUGAUAAGUGUCCCGUGUUUUUGGUACUACCUUAUCCUCCUUUAAAAAGGCUUUAAAGUUAAGGUUAAGGUGUAAAAAAACAAUACACAUACCUUGUUUUUAUCAGAAAACAACAACUGCGCCACAAGCUUGAAAAAUGAAGCAAAUAGAAGUUUGUAAACAGCAUAUACAAAAGGAGGUAAAGGAUUGGAUUAGAUUACCUUUAUAACAUUUUGAUGGUGGAGGCACGAUAAAAGCGAUACUUCUCUAAUGAAUUGUUUCUCUAAUCGAUCCACCAACAUUCCAUUUUCGUCAUCAUCCGGUACCGUGAUAAUUUUCACAGCUACAGCUUCAUCUUUAUACAUGCCAUGGUAAAGCCUGCUAUGAGCACCAUGAGCAAACCUAACACCAACAAAGAGCUUGGAGAGGUCAACAUUCCAUUCCUCAGCUGUUUCCACAGCAGUAACCUUUCCCCCUCCAUGAUCAAAGUACUUUGUCCAUCCCAAAUCCUUUCGGUGCUGCUUCGAGCUUAAUUUCAUCGAAGCAAGGUGCCUAAUUGGACUGCUGUAAGGGGAUUUAGUAGUAAUUGGACUACUGCGAGGGGAUUUGGAAUUGGACACAUGAGAAUCCUUGUUGAGCAACUUCCCCAUGAUUCUCUUGUCCUUGUUCUGUUCUUUCCUCCUUGGACCAGGUGUUGAGAACCUCUUCUGCUCAUGUCUGGCUUCCUUGAAGGUCUCAGAGAGAGAGGUUCGAGGCAAAGGGGACAAAGAUCUCUGCUUGUUCAUUAUUGGUUUCUUCUGAGCCUUGUUGGAAGCAAAAGCCACUUCAGGCCUUGAUUUCAGACUACUAGAACUGUGUUGUGCCCUUGGCUGAAUGCUGAAAGAGCCAAAUCCAGAACUGGAAUAGUUCAACCUGUGACAUACUGUGUGGGAGAAUUUGGCCCUCCUUAUCCAAGAAUUACUGCUAUCUUCAUCCAUCUUUUACCCUUUCUUCUUCAGAAGAAGAAGAAAACUAGAAGCACCUUACAAAAUCACUUUAUCCACAAUCUGAGAAAUAACUAGUCUUAAAGCCAAAAGGGUGGUGGUCCCCAAAAAACAAACUUCUCAGACUAAUUUCACACAAUCACAGGUAACUAGAUUUCCUCAAACUCAUCAACAACAACUGAGGGAUUGAACCAUGAAAAGUCAAAAAAAAAAAAUCCCAAUUGGAAUCAGAAAACCACUCAAAGCAAUCAAAACCCAGCAAGAAUGAGUUGAUGGAAAUUGGAAACCCCUCCCCCCCAAAAGAGAGAAAAAAAUCUGAAUUAAAAGCCAACAACAAACAUGCAGUGCUGUAGCGAGAGGUAACAGAAACUCCAAUCAAUCAAAAAAAAAACUUGACCUUUCAUAACCUCCUCAGCUGACACCUUUUACCAACAAAGUCAAACACCCACCACCUUCCGUAAAUGCCUGGAAAUCCCACACAGAUACCAGAAUACACUAAUCAAACCCCAAAAACAAAAAAUAUUCACUUUAAUUCAAAUCAGCAGAAAAACCACAAGUUAAAAACUAUUAGUACUUAUUUUACGUUGAUAAUGCAGAAACACCCAUCAUUAUACGUCCCCAUUGACUAACAAUAAUACUCAUUAUUUUAAAGAGUGACGAGCCAAUUAAACUAUUAUUAUAUUUCCAAAAGACCCAAAUACAGAAACAAAAAAAAAAUCAUUUUUUUAUAAAGAAAAGCAUCCCCAAAUACAAAGAAGAAAAGGGUGUCAGUAAAAUGCUAAAAUUGCAUUACCCGGAGAAAUAUCAAACCCGCGUACUACAAUUCUACAAAGGGUGUUUUUUUUGUUUUUCUUAUAUCAAAUUAUAAGAGCUUAUAAUAUGCUGAUAAAGACAGAAAUUUCCUGCACCUAAUAAAUACUCCACUUUCCACGAAGAGAGAGAGAGAAAAAAAAUCUUUUAUUUACUACUAUUAUUUUAUUAUUUUGAGAAUACAUAUACUUUGAUAAAUUUUAAAGGUGUCUUAGUAUAUUGAUUAAGAAAUUAAAGAAAUGUUUGAUAGAGAAAAAGUUUUAUUAUUUUUAAAAUUAUAUUUUUAAUAAUGAAUAAAUUUUUGUUUGAUUGGAUAUCAAAAAAUUCUAGAAAUUAAAAAAUUAUAUAAUAUAUUUACCAGUUAUUUUAAUUAUUUAUCACACUCAUAAUAAUAACAUGAUUUUUGUAUGUAAUAGAAAAAUUAAACUCGAAAAGUAAAAUUUUCAAAAACAAAAUCUUAAUUUUUAAAAACAAAUAAAAACACAGGAAACCAAGAUUUUCAAUCCUAAAUUCCUAAAAAACUUAAAACUUUUUCCUACCAAAAGACUUUUUAAAACCUCCUAAAAAGAGGAUUUUAUUAAGAUAAGUAAAAAUAUAUUUUCUAUAACUUUUUAUACACUCUUAUAAAAUCUUCAUGAAAAAUAUUCUUCUUCUAAUUUGUUAACCAAAUAUCCUUGGUCACAAGUCAGCAACAUCCAUACUUACAAUUUUAGAAUGGUCAAUGGUGAAUACGAAUGUGAACGAGUUUGGUAUGACAAACGCAGGAAAUAGAGAUUAGAGGGCGCAGAUUUUGGAAAUUGGAAGAUGAUGUUUUGGACUAGAGACGGCCAUGAUGAGGUUUGCUCCUUUGGUGGGAUGAAGGGUAACUCUGUAGGGUAGAGAUGGGGAUGGAUGUACUCAUUGUUACGUGCAGGAGAGUUAAUAUGUUUUGUAUUGCUUUCUUAGUAGAAAUAUUUAUUGUCAUUAAUUAUAUUUGGUAGGUUUUAAAUAUAAGAGAUUCUUACAUGUUCUUAUGAUAGUGUUGUUAUACCAUACUGCUUUAAUGCUUGUCUUGAUGCGUUUUUUUAUUGUUUUAAAACAUUUUAAUGAUUCUUGUGAUUAGUAAAAAAAAUGUAUUGUAAUUAAUGAUUUACCUAACUUGUGUGGCGAAUUUGCAUACUUAUAGCAAUCAAUUUAUAUAAUGAUAUGUACUAUACUGAAUCGACAAAACCUUCAUACUGUGUGGGCGGGCAUGUACAUCUCUUGUUUUAUUUAUUCUCUGAGUCUCGACAGAGAUUAAAAAAAAAAUUUACUGAUUAUCGAAGAGAAGAAUCAAGGUAAGAUCCCACACAGAAUUGUCAAAUAAGAUAAGAUUACAUUCAAAUAAGAUAAUAACAUAAUGUAAAAUUGUUAUUUGCCUAUUAGUUUCCAAGAAUAAAUAUAUGUACUUGACAAUGUAACAAUGUUUACUAUUUAAUCACAAUUUUUACCAUUACUGAUUAGUUUGUUAAUAGUUAUUUUAAAAAUUAUAUAAACAAAGAUUUAUAAUUGAUUAAUAUUGUAAAAAGAACUAAACUACAAAUAUAUCAAUAUGUAGAAAUAAAAUUCAUAUAGUAAUUAUUAAAAAAAAUUAAAAGCUAAUACAUUUGAUAAAUGGAAGGAAGUGGGAAAGGAAGGAAAAUAAAAGUCACGAGACAGAAUUGAAAGUAUGAGUUUUAUUUUUGGUUAGAAUAAUUCUAUUAUUUUUAGUAAUGUAUUUUUUAUAAAUUUUUAUUUAUUAAAUAAAGAAAGAACUAAAUACAUUAAACACAUAUUUAAAAUAUUGAAAUAUUUAAUUUUUAUUCAAUAUUUAUUUUAUAAAAUAUUCACAAAAUUAUAAGAAAAAUAUAGAGUAAUUAUGUUCAUAUUUAUUUUUUAUCUUGUUUUUAAUUAUCAUUUCUGUUUUCUUUUUUCAUCACAUCAUUUAUUAUUUUGUUCUUCUACUUUUAUUCUGCUUUCUUUCUUCUUUCUUUCUUCUUCUUCAAAUCUACUCCAAAAUGAAAGGAAUGUCUAUUGUAUUUGUUUUUAAAUAUAAUAAGAACUGCAACAUUACUUUAGAUGUGUUUAGUCUAGAGAAGAAAAAUAGAGGGAAAAAAAGAAAUAAAAAAUAUUUUUUAAAAUUAAAAUAAAAUAUAAAAGGUAUAAGUCUCACAAAAUAUAAUAUCAAUUUUUUUGAAUAUUAUUUUCCUCUUUAAACAAACAAAUCCUUUCUUCUCUAUAUUGUUUAGUUAAAAGAAAUGGUGAGAGCGUAUGGUGAAUGGAGGAAUCCAUGUGUCACUAUAGGGGAGAAUGAGGUACGGAUUCGAUUUUUGUAUAUGUUUGGUUCUGAAGAUGCAUACUUCAACGAAACUACUACACAACUUGUACGGUUGGUUGCAUUGUACGAUACGGUUCCCAAAACAAAACUAAACCCAUUUGGCCACCAAACGGUACGAAUCUACAUAACUUUGUACCUUGUUUACCCAAAAAAUAAGAAAUGAAAUCGACUUAAUUUAACACUUAUUGUCACAUUACUUGUUUGUUUCGAUGUUAAUGGCCUCUUAUGCUGUCUUAAUUAAUAAGAACAAGAUAUAAAUCUCAUUAGAAAUUAUAUUAUUGGCUUAAGUUAGAGAAGACAAAUACAUGGGGACAUGGGGUGAUGGGGGAAGCCUUUGCUUGCACUUAAUGUCAUUGGAAAAAUUUAAAAAUUAAGAAAUGCAAUAUUCAAUUAUUAUUUCCCAAUGGCCAAACAAAAUAUCCUUAUUGUACGGAUUUUGAAUCUCCAUUCAAUAUUAAAUGGUGAGUGAUUAUGAUUUUUUGAAAAUAAAAUAAAAUAAAAAGGUAGAUGAAGAUGGCAUAUAUAUGAUAAGAGUUAUUAGUUUUACCCAUGCAACCAUCUAUUAGAAUAUUAGUUGAACAUAUUUCCCGUGACAUGGAGAAGAACAAUUCCUAUUUUUUCAUAUAUGUUGAAAAUUUUCAUACCUUGCAGGCAGGCAUGGAAAACUUGACCUUGCACAGUCACACAUAUAUGAUAGGAGAGAGAAAGA